CUCCAAUCCCACUACUAGUUCCCAGAGAAUCCACCCGCGACGCCAAAAUAAUGGGCUACGACAUUGCAGCACGGACACAAGUCAUUACCAAUGUAUGGGCAAUUGGGAGAGAUCCACUGCUGUGGGAUGAGGCCGAGGAGUUUCGGCCAGAAAGGUUCUUGAACUCUUCUAUAGAUUUCAGGGGGCAAGACUUUGAGUUGAUCCCAUUUGGAUCUGGCCGGAGAGGUUGCCCGGGAACUCUGUUCGCGGCAAUGGCAAUUGAGGUUGUGUUAGCAAAUCUUGUUCAUCGGUUUGAUUGGGAAGUGGGUGGUGGAGGUAGAAGGGAGGAUUUGGAUAUGACUGAAUGCACUGGUCUGACCAUUCAUAGAAAAGUUCCACUUCUUGCAGUUGCAACUCCAUGGCCUCGCUGAGUGUGUGGAUACCUUUCAUUUUGUUGUAUUAUCGUCCUAUUUGAGAUAAAUAAUAAUAAUAAAUAUAUAAAAAUAAAUAGAAUUUUUUUCUUCUGUUUUUAUACCUAGAAUAAUAAUAAAUAUUCUUUUAAUUUGUGCUUUAAUUUUAUAUUCUAAAAUUAUAUUCAAAAUGCUCUAAUCCCUGCAUUCAUGAUUGCAAAAAUAAAAUAAAAAAAAUUUCAUGCUAGAAAAUUCAUGGAAUUGCUUUUUCUAGUUCAAGAAACAAUUCUGGAUAAGACAUAUAUAGUAUGUCAUUACGUGAGGAGGAGAAAAAAAAAAUGGAAAAAAUCGUUUAUAAAGAUUCUUUUUCCAUUGGGCCAAUCGCAGUUGGGAUUGCGUGGUUACUGUUGGAACGUCAUUUGUUUAUUUGGCCUUGGUGCCUAGGCUGAAGAGCCGACCUUUUGUGCUCUGGUGGUGCCUAGGCUUGAGCCUACGCGGCGUCAGCGCAGAGUCCAGGAGGGCAACCACAAAGACUAAGGUCUUGAGUUCGAAUCUUGGGGACGUCACCCUCAAGGGCCAAAUAAACAAAUGGCCCCAUAAGACUCUGUGCUGGCGCCGCGCAGGCUCUUCAGCCUAGGCACCAGGGCUAAAUAAACAAAUGACGUCCCAACAGUUACCAUCCAUCACAAGAGACUUUUUGAAUUGAUUCUGAUUUCUAAAAUCAAUUCUAUUUUAUGGUGACUUCAAGCUUAUCUUCGAAAAGGGUCAUAGAAUCCAUGAUUAAAACUACUCUAAACAAAAGAUUAAGUAGCUAGUGAAGUAGAGAAUGAAGGUCCAUCACUCACCCAUGAAUUAAUUCAUCACAGUUUUCUCUUUAUAUUAUCCUAGGUGGUUAAUGGUAUAGUCAUGGAAAUGGUUAUUGAGUUUGUUUUAAGGCUUUAUCCAUCCUAGGAGUAAUAAUUUGUCAAAAGGAUAUCUAGAGGAACUUGUUUUAGUAGAAGGUGCUGGCGUUGAAGGUAAGAUGUCUGGUGAUUAUUCAAUUAGGUUUGUAAAUCCAUGAAUAGGCUCAAUAUUAAUGCUUGAAAUGAGUUGAAUAUUUAUAUUUAUACAUCUCUAGGAGAUCCACAAAUCCCUAAAAAAAAUAUAGUAAACAAAAAAAGAAGUAAAUUUUCCUAAGAUUCAAAAUGACUUAGAAAAUUGGAAACUAGUCAAGUUUUCUUGUCAAGAAAUUUAUAAAAAAAAAAAAUAUGAUCUUUUAAGUUUUUCUUUGAUUACAAUUAAUAUGAUUGAAUAGACCAUAAGUUUGGAAUAAGAUGACUAAAUUAUAAGACUUCUAGAUUAUAGAAAAUCUAUAGAAAGACAUAAGAAAGAUUAUAACUUUAUAUUUUUAAGAAUAAUCCAAAUAGUUGUUAAGCCUUUGGUCAGAAUUGGUCUAAACACUUCCAUUGUUAUGUGCUUAAGAUAUAAUAGAUAUCUUGAUUAUAAAGAUUUUACUAUAUGAGUGGUCAAGACAAGAUUAAAUGAUAUACCAAUUUAUUUUAAGUGUUUUCUACGCCUUGGUCAAACUGGUUUAAACACUUCCAUUGUUAUGUGCCUGAGGUAUAAUAUUUGAUUAUAAAGAUUUUAUUAUGUGAGUAGUUAAGUCAAAAUUAAAUGAUUGACCAAUUUAUUUAAGUGUUUUUCUAACUUCAUAGUAAUAUUAAAAGAUACUGAUAUCUUAGAUCUAGUAGACCUUCAUGUGAUACAUGAAUUUAAGUUUAAGGAAGAAAAUAGUCCAGUUUCCAUAAUUAUUAAAUUUUCUUACAAAAGUAUGACUACCAUUGUAGGAUCAAUAGCUUUAUGCACAGGUCCUAAGUGUGAGAGAAUGAAGUUAAAUUUUUGGAGUCAUGAUAUUUUCCCAAUGUUAUUCCACCUAUAAAACAAUGAAUAGAUAAUAUUGAACAAAUAAUUAAAUAGAGAAAAUUGAACACAUAAUUUAAUAUCCUUGUAGAGAAGGAGAUAUAAUCUUUUCCAAUUCAUAAUAUGAACCCUUUAGAGUAUCAUGCUCAUCUAUUUCUAUUAAGUCCACUAAGUUAGAGGAAAAAUCCAUAUCCUCAAAACUUAAGAAUAUUAAGUUAUCAAGGGUUAGAAGUCACACAAAUUAAUAUAGCACAACUCUACUAUUAAAAAGAUAGGGAGCCAAUGUAAGAAUUACCUGAUAUGUCACUCACAUAUUCCCAAAUGAUUAAUGUAAUAGAUAAAAAAUUUAUGAUUAAUAAGAAAUUAAGAUAAGAUUUAUUCUCUAAGGAAAACAAAGAAAAAAUUUAUGAUAUUUUAGCAAUGUUCACAGGUGUUUAGAACUAUAUCUUAGGAAAAAUUUUAUAGUUACCUAAGAAAACACCAAACUCAUGUCAAGUUUUUGGAAGUGGUUUGAAGCCUUUAGGUUAUGUUUGGUUCUUGAAAAAUGUAAGGGAAUCUAUAAGGGAAAGAAAAUAAAGAGGAAAAGUAGAUGGGAAGAAAAAGUGAAGAAAAAUAAAAAAUAAAUUUAAAGUUAAUAAAUUACUUUUAUAUACUACUUCAAACUCAUUUAACUUAUUUUAACUCAUCUAUAUAAAAAUAAAAUAAUUUAAAACUGCAUAAAUUUCUAAUUAAUUUGAAUUAUAUUUGAUUUUCUUUGGUAUUUUUUGUAGUACAACCAAACAUAAGAAAAUCAUUUUUCUUAAUAUUUUUUAUUUAUUUUCCAUAAUGCUUUCUAGAAACCAAAUAUAACCUUUAACAAAAUGAAUUUCUUAGUUAUCCAAUCAAGGAUAUCAACAAUAACAUAAGAAAUAGUAAACAAUGGAAGAGUAGGGAUGAUAUCAUUAUAUGUAAUCCACCCUAUAGUAGCUAAGAUUGAUAAGAAUGUUAAUGAAACAAUAGCCAAAACAUAACCUUUUAAGACUAAGAUGGAUGAUAAAGAAACUGCUAGCUCAACAAAUAUUAAGAAAAUUAUGGAACAAAAUAAUUAUAUUAAUAUGUAUUAAGACAACUUUUAUUGAAAAAGAUGAUCACUUUUAUUUAAUAUGUUUUUUAAGACUUUAGAAUAUCAACUCAAUAAAGUGGAAGAAGUUAUCCAAAAUAAAAGACAUAUUAAGACAACCUUUAAUGAAAAAGAUGAUAAGCUUUUAUUUAAGCCAUUUGAGUUAUCUAAGAAAUUUCAAGGAAACCCUAUACUUGACUAAAAUCUAAUAAAAAGAAUAAUUUUAAUGCAUUAAAUGAAAAUUUAAUUAUUGCGGAUACUCCACAAUCUUCCUAUAUAAGGAUAAUUAAUGUAUUGAUGAAGAUCGAUAUUAGCUUAGAUGCUGAAAUUGAUGAACUAAUUAAAAUUUAAAAAAACUUAAAACUAGGAAAUUUAUAGGAUUAAGAAUUUUUAGAAUCGGGAAAUUACUAGGACCAAGAAUUUUAACCUUAAACCAACCUUCCUCGAUAUGCAAUAUGAGAAAAGGAAUCUAUACCUAGAAUCUUCAUAUACCAGUAGAACUAUUUACGAAUAAAGCAUAGUUGGUAUGACAAAGUAUGACAUAUUAACCAAACUUCGGGAAGUGACUAUUGUUAGCAUAACCUAUAAACUAAACAAUAGAUUGUUAUAUCAUAUGUUUGCCUAGAGACUAAUUGUUAUGUUUACAAGCCAACUAAAAGGUUGGUGAGAUCAUUUCUCAUUUAAGAAGAUAAGAGUUUUAUCUUAAGUGCAUAUAGAACUAAUUCAAAAAAUGAAAUAGUUGAGGAUGAGGAAGAUAUAGAGGAUGCCAUUGCUACUCUAAUUUUCUCUAUCUCUAAACAUUUAAUAGGAGAUCCAUCAAAGAUAAUUGACAAAACAAUAGAUUUAUUAAUCAAACUUAAAUGUCUUAAACUUCAAGAUUUUAGGCGGUAUAAAGACAUUUUUAACCAAGGUUAUGUAAAGAUCAAAUUGUAAUAAAUCAUUUUGGAAAGAAAAAUUUAUUUCAGGAUUACCUAUGCUUUUCUCAUAAAAGAUUAAGAUUAAGAUUAGAGAAUCCUUAUUGUAAGUUGACAUAUGGAAAUAUUAUAAGCAUUACUAUUACCAAAGGCAAUAACUUAUGUAAUGAUUUUAAACUUAAGUAAUGAUUUGCGUGUACAUUGUGUAGGUUUAAAAGGUUUAAUGGAUGAUAUUCUAAGUAUAUCCGAUUACUUUGACCUAUUUCUAUACUAAAGACAUAUUUUGGAAUCAAUGUUGGGAUUUUAUAAGAAUUUGUGCAAAAUUGCAGCACUUUUUAAUGUCCACAUUAAUUAAGAAGAAGCAAGAUUGGAUUUUGAUAGUAGGCAAUUGGAGAUGAAGUAUCUAGAGUAAAUGAACAUUUCAAUAUUACUGAGGUAUCGAUUUUGGUAUUUUGAUACCAUGAUAGAGCUCACAUUUCUGGUAGCUAUAAUGGGUUUAUCGAAUUCACAUCUCAGGAAGUCACAUUGUAAAUUGAGGGAUUAAGAAUCAAUAUACAAAUUCUAAUUUUGAUAUGCAAAAUAUGUAUCAGUUGCUAUCACUUUAUAUCGAUUCUUAACCAAGAAGCUACAAAAAGAUUGGAGAUUACAAUUGAUAUGCAAAAUAUAUUUGGAUACCAUGAUUGUCCAUUCUUAUGUAUAAAAUUGUAUUAAAUUGUCACUGUUGUAUCGAAACAACUUGUGAACAGCGUACAAGGUCAAAGUUGAAGAUUCAUUCUUUGGUUUUACUCAAUACGUGGUAGGUUGUGAUUGGAUUGUAAGUUGAUCAAAUGCCUAUUAAUAACUUGCCUCGGUGAUAUAGGGAUGAGGGAGAUCGAGUGAUAGAGAGAAUUUAGUCUUAGUUGUAAAGAGUUUUUUUUUCCAUUGUGGUUUCUUGUUAUUUUCUUGGUUGCCAAACAAGAGUGAGGAUCAUGAAUCUUGCCCUAGAUUGUGAGUCUUUAUCAAUUUUUGGAAGAAGAUUGUAUGAAUCAAUAUUAAAGAAAGAAAUGAUGUAGUUCUCUGUUAGGAUUUUAACUUGUUUUUUUUAGAUUUUUGGUUUUUCUUAACUGAGCUUGAAUUCUUUUGAUGUCUGAUCAUGAAACUAGUUCAUUUCAAGCUAAAGAAUUUGGAUUUAUUAGAGAGGUUUUAGGAAUUGGAAUAGAAUGGAUCUGAUCAUAAUGUGAGGUUCUCAAAUUUCUAAAAGGAUAAUAUACAAACUAAGCUUUAAAGUAGGAAGUCUUAUCCUAAGUGCUGAUAUCAAAUGCAUAUUUGGUUCAUUACAAGACAUUUUCUAAAGAUCAACAUAUGAGAUACAACUGUAGAUUACUAUUAGAUAAUUUCCUUUCAAAAAUCAUAUGAUAAAUCAUACUAAUUCCUUAUUCUUUUGUAUGAUAAACCUUUUUUUUAAAGGUCAUGUGAUUAUUAUUGAUAAUUUGAUUUAGAUCCUUGCAGAGAUGACCUAAUCAACUAUGACAAUUUUUAUUCUUUUGAAUUUCAAGAGAAAUUAUUUUGGUUUGAGAAUACAAGAUUUCAAUGACAGAUCUGGUAUUUUUGUAUAAUAUAUGACUAAUUAUAAACCGUUUUCUAAUUUAAUCAUGUAUCAAAAUUAGUCAAUCAAAAAAUGACACCAUUGUUGAGAUCUACCAAUAGAUUAUUAAUAUGAACAUAUAACUUUAAAAUUAUCAGUUUUCUAAAAUUUAUUGAAUCUGGUUUAGAUAGAAAAAUUCUUUGUUUUCGUUUAACAAUGAUGUGGCAAAGCUAUGAGGUUUUAUAUUGCUCUUGAGGAAAUGGAUUAGAGAAGAGAUAAAAACAUCUAUAGUAUCAAUAAUUAAUGAAAGAUCAAAUCAAUCAGAAUCUACCUAAUCAAGAUCAGAUCUAAAGAUUUCCUUCUAUGCGAGAUCACUUGAAGAUGCUAAGAGUAGCUUCUCCAUCAUGCUUUAUUCCUCAAACUGAGCAUGUCACUGUUUGAUUAGAGUUAGUACCACUAUUACCGAUAUUUAGAGAAUGUGAAGAAGAGAAUCCAUAUAUGCACAUUAAAGAAAAUGAAGAGAUGUACUCUAUGCUUCAGGAUUAGAAUAUAUCCAUGGAUAUAAUAAAAAUGAGGCUAUUUUCGUUAACUAUGAAAGACAAGGCUAAGGUCUAGUUCAAUGCCUUACGACCUAGAAGCAUAUCAAUUGGAAUGAGUUGCAAUCUAGUUUUCUUCAAAAGUUCUUUUCUCCACAUCACAUUAGUAUGUUGAACUAGGAAAUGUCUAAUUUCAUUGUAAAAAAAAAAAAAAAAAGUGAAAAUUUCUGUGUGCUAGGAGUGAUUUAAGGAGACAAUAACAACUUUUUCAUAUAAUGGUUUCAACAUUUGGUUGAUAGUAUCAUACUUCUAUGAAGGAAUGCUUCUAUAGAUGAAGCAAUUGGUUGAUAAGAUUUUUGGAGGAGAUUUUAAGAGUAAAAGUUCAUAUGAGGCCAUUCAGUUUCUAUAAUGUCGCUGAUGUCUUGAGAGGAUUGGAAUAUUCGGUGUAGAAAAACACUGAAAAUAAGAGAAACUCCAAUUCUAAUUAAUCUUUUGGUAGAUGAGGGAUGUAUAUAGUAGAUUAUGACAUGGAACUGCAAUCGAAAUAUCCAUCUCCGGUAAGAAAGACUAAAGAUAACAAGAUCUAUAAGUAAGUGAAUCGAUGGGACUUUGUGCCAUUUAGGAAUCACAAGGGCAUGUUAUAGAAGAAUGUCCUACUGUAUGUACUGUCAAGGAAAUAUUCAAUGAGUAGGUAGUUGUUGUUGGCAUGAUUAUAAGAUUUAAUCAAGGAAUGUUCCGUCCUCAGCAAAGAUAUUACUUCCCAUUUUCAAAUAUGUAUAACCCUAGUUGGUGGGAUCAUCCUAACUUGUCAUGGAACUACCCUAGCAAUGUUUAUAACAACAUGUUAGAAUAUUAGCUGAAGGAGAAUUACCAUAGACAAAAUAUGCAACCCCAACACUCAUAAAAUAUUCUUUAAUCACCACUAGAAGUAAUGAUGCAGUCAUUUAUCGGAGAAUAAAUGAAAACAAAAAUGGUGGGUUCAAAAGAUCUAUCAAUAAUCAAAGGAAGUGAAAUGAUGGGCAGAGAAAAUUUAAAGUUUCUACAUCUUAUUGCAUCACUAAUAUCUAGAAAAUGUUGAACAAGGUUAACAAACAAUCUAAUUGUGACAAAGAGAAGUUUUCAGCACAACCAUACUAAAAUCCUAAAUCCCUAUGUGAAGCUACCAAUUCUACAACCUCCACCAGUGAGCAUCAAGAAUUGAAAUUCUAAUUGCUUUGAGAAGUAGUAAACUACUAGAUUUAGACAUCAAAUAAAUCCAAAAGCAGAGGAGAUAAAAUCUAAAAAACAGAAAAAACCAAAAAUACAAAUAAGGAAGAAAAGAUAUAGGUAUAAUAAAAAAAUGACUGAACUUUUGGAAGAGCCUAAACUAGCCAAAACAAUAGCUCUAUUUCCUCAAGCACUAAGAAGAAAGGAAUAUGGUCAAUAUGUAGAAGUAUUUGACAUACUCCGUUAAGUUAAAGUUAACAUUCCUCUUCUAGAUUUGGUUCACCAAGUACUCAUCUACGCAAAAUUCUUGAAGAAUUUGUGUACAACAAGAAGAAAAAUGAUUGUUGACAGGAAAACAUUUGUAGCAGAGCAAAUCAAUGUACUUAUUCAAUGCAAAACCCUAAUUAAGUACAAGGAUUUUGGUUGUCCCACUAUAAUGACUUCAGGUGGACAAGUUCUACUACCUUGUUGAUUUUAUAAUGUUAGACAUCAAACAACUAAAGAGGAAUGCAAAUCUAGUUCCAAUCAUCCUAGGCAAACAAUUUUUAGAAAUUGCUAAUGCUCUAACAAAUUUAAAAAAUGGAAUAAUGAAGCUAGCUUUUAGAGACAUUACUCUAGAGACUAAUGUAUUCUAGCUACUAAAAAUUCAUGUGCUACAAGCAUAGGAAGAUGAACCAAAUGAGAUAUGUUUGAUGGAAACAUUGAUUUAAAAGCAUAAGGAGAGUUUGAUAGAACAUUAGUCAAUCAAGAAUUAUAAAGGGUUGGGAGACAUGUAUUCUACCUACCAAACAAAAAAUAAAGUGCUAAAAUUGUGGAAGGAAAAGGGAGACAUUUGCAUAGACAAAAAAGUUGAGAAAGAAAAAGCAAAGAAAAGGAAAAAGUUGCUUCCUUAAGGACAAUAUGUUUAUCUAAGGGAAGGAGAGGAUUAUACAAUCGUUAUAGCUACAUCUUUUGAUCCAAUUCAAGAUUAGGAACUUAUUCAAGUACUAAAACACUAUAGAAAAACAAUCGAUUGGUCCAUUGAAGAUUUGACAAGAAUUCAUAUAUCCCAAUUAAUUGGGUUACUAUUGAUGAAGGUUGGUGGUAACAAGUAUUCUCAAUAAAGAUAUCAUGAUAUCUCAUGAAAUUGAAAUAGUAUAUCAUAUUAGGUGUUCCAAGGGACAUGUGAUCAUGAAAUUUAUAGCCUCAAUAAUUCCUUUAGUGGAAUUUGACUUAUGUUCCUUGGAGUUAAAGUAUGCCAAUUAAUCAUAUAAUAAGUGGAUUUGUAACUCAAGGAUUGAAAAGGUAAUCAUUAUGGGUUGAUAGCAUUAUCUUGUUAUAUUAUGGACACUAAUUCAUGAGGAGUUUACAUGCAAUAAAUAAUAGAUUAUGAACCCAAGCUUUGCUCGUUGUAAUUUCAUAAGAUAUUGUAAUGUAGUUGACUUUCUUUAGUAGAGUGUUGAGCCAACUUUAAAAUUGGAUUCUAAGAGAGCUAGUAUUUUCCUAUGGUUCCUAGUAGACCUCACUUGAACUCUUAGUUCAUUGUGGCACAUGUUUUAAGGGUAUUUUGGAUUUAUAAUUCAUAAAUGUGCAUAAAGGCAUUUUGGUAAAAGUGCAAGGGUGCACUAGAUCUUAUGAAUUGACUUUCUAUAAUGAGUUAAUUAAUUAAUUAGAUCCCAUUAGGACUAAUUAAUUAAUUAGAGCCCAUUAGGACUAAUUAAUUAACUAGAGCCUGUUGAGCUAUAAAUAGAAUAGGAGAAUUUUUUUUCCUAUUAUGUUAGUUUCCUAUUUCUGUAAAUAGAUAGGUUUAUUAGUUUCCUGUUACUGUAAAUAGAUAGUUUUAUGAUUUAUAAAUAGGUUAGUUUAGGAAUAAGUUAGUUUCCUAUUAUGUCUUUUGUUUCCUAUUUCUUUUCUUGUAAUCUCCUAUAUAAACCGUGUGUAUAGUCAAUUUAAUAGAGAGAGAACUUAUUAUUUUUCAUCCCAUAUUUCGUGUCAUGGUAUUAGAGCUGUAGGUUUUUAAGACCUGGGCAUCAUUCUGGCCUUCAUCGCCAUUUUUCUGGCCUUCAUAGUUGGAUUUUUUAUUAUUCACGUGUUCUUUUACCAACCUUUAUUGCUGUUGAUUUUUUUGUUUCACGAUCUGCCUUAAUUCCAAGAGAUCAGGUUUUUUCAUGGAAGAUGUUGGAAAAUUCAGGUACACCUUCAUUCUCUUUUUGCAUAAAUGCCUCACAUAGAGUUUAUGAUGAAUCUUGGAUAAUAGACUCCGGUGCCACAGACCAUAUGACCUCCAAAUCUCAACUUUUCAAUACCUAUACCCCAAGCCCAAGUAACAAGAAAAUUGUAGUGGCCAAUGGCUCUUUAGUUACUGUUGUAGGUUUCGGAGACAUAUACAUCACACCUACCCUUAUUCUUAAAAAUGUCCUCCAUGUACCAAAAUUGUCGGCCAACCUGUUUCCAUUCAAAAGCUUACCCAUGAUCUUAAAUGUUAUGCUAUUUUUUUCCCUUCUUAUUGUGUUCUUCAAGAAUAAGGCUUGGGGAGGAGGAUUGGACUUGCUAAGGAAAUGAGCGGUCUUUACCACCUUGAAUCAUCUCAGAAAACUAGUAAUAAUUUGUCGUUGUCUCUUCUUAGUUCCUCAAAUAAAGAUACCAUUUGGUUGUAUCACCUACGUCUAGGUCAUCCAUCUUUUAGGGUUUUAAAGGUCAUGUUUCCUCAUUUGUUCCAAGGAUUAGAUAUUUCUGAGUUUCAUUGCGAAACUUGUGAAUUGGCAAAACAUACUCGUGUAUCUUUUCCUAUUAGCAAUAAAAGAAGUUCUUAUCCUUUUCAUUUGAUUCAUAGUGACAUAUGGGGUCCUUCGACUAUACCUAAUGUUUCUAGGGCUCGUUGGUUUGUAUCCUUAAUUGAUGACUGGACUCGGGUUACAUGGAUCUUUCUUCUUAAACAAAAAUCUGAUGCUAGCAUUGUUAUACCUAAUUUCCACUCAAUGGUUCAAAACCAAUUUGGGGUUAAAAUAAAAACCUUUAGGACAGACAAUGCUAGAGAUUACUUCAACCAGAUUUUGUCACCCUAUUUUCAAUCACAGGGCAUUCUCCAUGACUCAUCAUGUGUUAACACACCCCAACAAAAUGGGGUAGCCGAGAGGAAAAAUAGGCAUUUACUCAACACAACCCGAGCUUUACUUUUUCAAGGGAAUGUUCGUAAGUCCUAUUGGGGGGAAGUUGUUCUUACUGCCACAUACAUGAUAAAUAGAAUUCCCUCACAAGUAUUAGACAACAAAAGCCCCGUCGAGAUACUUAAGAGUUUCUAUCCACACUUUAUAACCUCAAAUGGGCUCACUCCUAGGGUAUUUGGGUGCACUGCAUUUGUUCAUGUCCACAGCCAACAUAGAGACAAGCUAGACCCCCGAGCCAUAAAAUGUGUCUUCCUUGGUUACUCAUCCACUAAAAAAGGAUACAAGUGUUAUAAUCCCUCAGCUAGAAAAUUUUACAUCUCUACAGAUGUCACAUUCACAGAAAAUAAACCUUUUUUCCAUAAGUCCUCUCUUCAGGGGGAAAUGGAAGAUAGUCCUUAUGAGUCCUUUGAACCUUUUGAUCUUCCUCAUGUCUCAACCCAUGGUGAUGAAGAACCUGUGUCAUCCUCUGUUCCAGCCAGUGUCACUCAACCUCUUGAUUUUCCUCAUGUUUCAACCCAUGGUGAUGAAAAACCUGUGUCAUCAUUUGUUCCAGCCAGUGUCACUCACAAUUUUCUAUAGUUUCAUAAGGUGUAUUCAAGGGAAAAUGCCAUUCCAUAACAAAAACAGGUCCAAGAAUCCAACUCAGACCUUGGGAAUGAACUCACGGUAAGAUCAGACCCACCUUUACAUACACAACCUGGUGAAACUUCCACUGACUCAACAGACAACCUAUACCUAGACCUUCCCAUUGCUGUCAGAAAAGGCACUAGAGAAUGCACUAACCGACGACUUUAUCCACUAUCACACUAUGUGUCUCUUAAACACCUAUCACCAACCCACAAGAAUUUUAUUGUGAGUCUAAAUACCACUAUCAUUCUUAACACUGUUUCUGAGGCAUUGACAAAAAGGGAAUGGAAGGAUGCUAUGAGAGAGGAGAUGAGUGCAUUAGAAAAGAAUAAAACAUGGGAGAUUAUUGAACGACCAAAAGGGAAAAACAUUGUUGAUUGCAAGUGGAUUUUCACACUAAAAUAUAAGGUUGAUGGAUCUCUAGAGAGACAUAAAGCAAGAUUGGUAGCCAAAGGGUACACUCAAACUUAUGGAGUUGAUUAUCAGGAGACUUUUGCUCCAGUUGCAAAAAUGAAUACUGUAAGAAUCCUGUUGUCACUGGUUGGCCACUACAAUUGGCAACUCUUAUAGUAUGAUGUUAAGAAUGCAUUUCUUCAUGGUGAUUUAGAUGAAGAGAUUUACAUGAACAUCCCACUAGGAUUUGAGGAAAACACAGGUAACAAGCUGAAGAAGACUCUGUAUGGGCUAAAACAAUUUCCUAGGGCUUGGUAUGGGAGAUUUGAAAAAUUCAUGAAAGAGUCUAGGUACAAACAAAGCCAAGGUGACCACACUCUCUUCAUCAAGCACUCGGCUACAGGGGGAGUAACUGCUCUUCUAGUCUAUGUUGACGACAUCAUAGUGACUGGAAAUGAUGAGAGAGAAAAGCAUGAAGUGAAGCAGAGAUUAGCAACAGAGUUUGAGAUAAAGGAACUAGGAAAACUGAAGUACUUCCUCGGUAUUGAGGUGGCAUAUUCCACACAAGGGAUCUUCAUCUCUCAACAAAAGUAUGUGAUUGAUUUAUUGACAGAAACAAGGAAGAUUGGGUGUAAACCAGUCUCUACCCCAAUGGAUCCAAACCACAAGUUGGGAGAAGCUAAAGAGGAGCCAAUGGUGGAUAAAAGAAUGUACCAAAGGCUGGUUGUUAGACUCAUAUACCUUGCCCACACUCGGCCAGACAUCGCCUACACGGUGAGCGUGAUUAGUCAAUUCAUGCAUGAUCUAAGAGAACCUCAUUUUCAAGCUGCUUACAAGGUGCUACAUUACUUGAAAGGCAACCCUAGGAAAGGAAUUUUGUUCAAGAAGAACAAUACUCUUGCUCUAGAAGCAUACACCGAUGCUGACUAUGCAGGUUCCCUAGUGGAUUGAAGAUCAGCUACAGGGUAUUGUACUUUUCUUGGAGGAAAUCUGGUAACAUGGAGAAGUCAAAAGUAGAAUGUGGUAGCAAGAUCGUCUACAGAAUCAGAGUUUAGGGCCAUGGCUCAAGGGUUGUGUGAACUACUUUGGCUGAAGAUUAUUCUAGAUGAUUUGAGAAUCAAGUGGGAUGGUCCUAUGAAGCUCUAUUGUGACAACAAGUCAGCUAUCAAUAUUGCUCAUAACCCUAUACAACAUGAUAGGACAAAACAUAUUGAGAUUGAUAGACACAUCAAAGAAAAAUUGGAGGAAGGAGUAGUGUGUAUGUCCUAUGUUCCAUCAGAACAUCAAUUAGCUGAUAUUCUAACAAAAAGGUUAAACAGUUCAAUGCUUCACUAUCUUGUAUUCAAGCUGGGAAUGGAAGACAUCUAUUCCUCAGCUUGAGGGGGAGUGUUGAGCUAUAAAUAGAAUAGGAGAAUUUUUUUUCCUAUUAUGUUAGUUUCCUAUUUCUGUAAAUAGAUAGGUUUAUUAGUUUCCUAUUUCUAUAAAUAGAUAGUUUUAUGACUUAGAAAUAGGUUAGUUUAGGAAUAAGUUAGUUUCCUAUUAUGUCUCUUGUUUCUUAUUUCUUCUCUUGUAAUCUCCUAUAUAAACCGUGUGUAUAGUCAAUCUAAUAGAGAGAAAACUUAUUAUUUUUCAUUCCUGAUUUCGUGUCAGAGCCCAUUAAGACUAAUUAAUUAAUUAGAGCCCAUUAGGACUAAUUAAUUAAUUAGGACCUAAGUGGGUUGGAUUAGGUGUCCUAAGCCCAAUUUGGGUACAAGUCACUUAAGCCUACAAUAAAGCCUAUAUAAAACUCCUUAGAAGUCAGGGCUUCAAUCUUGCAAUUUAGUUUUCUGAAAUUCUAAAAAGAAUAACCCCUUUAGAGAGAGAAAAAGAAGUUCACCAUUCUUUUGUGCCAAGAUCCAUGGAGGAAGAGAUUGGGUGGAAGAUCAUUAGGUAGACGAGAUCCAUGACAACUAUCGUAGUUUCAAAGUCUUCAUUGGAUGGAAAUCGAUCUAAGAACAUUUAGAUCAUAAUUAUGAACUUUAAUCUUUAGAUCUAAUAUGUUUUAUGGUUUUUAAACCUUUAUUUUUUGUUAAGUUAGAUUUAGAGAAACCUAAGAUAGUUUGCAUGCACCCUACAUAAUUUUAGGGCUAGAAUCGAAGUAAUCUGGAGUUUGUAGUAGGCAUAAUAGCAAUCAAGAAUGAAAGAGGAGAAGCACCCACCAAACUUACCAUAGAAUAAAGGAUACGUAUUGAUUAUCGUAAACUAAAUGCAAUAACCAAAACAAAUCAUUUGUCAUUGCCAUUUCUUAACCAAUUGCAAGAUGUCCUUAUUUUUAUUUCUUGAAUGGUUAUUUAGAAUAUUUUUAGAUACCACUUGCACUAGAAGACAAGAAAAAGACAACUUUUACCUAUCCAUUUGGUACAUUUGCAUAUAAAAUGUUAUUUAGAUUAUGUAAUAUGCCUGCCAUAUUCCAGUGAUGCAUGAUGAACAUAUUCUAAGAGUUUUUGGAAAAAGAAAUUGCAGUGUUUAUGGAUGACAUAAUUGUGUUUAGAUCUUCAUUUGAAGCAUGUUUGGAGAAUUUAAAGAAAAUAUUGAAUAAAUAUAUUAAGAAAGGACUAGUGUUAAAUUAGGAAAAAGUCUAUUUCAUGGUAAAAAAUGGGAUUUUCUUAGGCCAUGUGAUAUAAAAAAAAAAUGGUAUUGAAGUUUAUAAAGCUAAAAUUGAGCUAAUAUUUAAAUUGCCAAGACCAACUACAAUUAAAGAAUUACAAUAAUUUAUGGCCUAUGUUGGGUUUUAUAAAAGAUUUAUCAAAGACUUCUCAAGAACUUCUUAGUCCCUGUGCAAUCUAUUAUUGAAGGAUGUCGAGUUCAUAUCGAUAGAAAAAUGCAAACUAGUGUUUGAAAAGCUAGAAAAGCAAACUUACCUCUACAUUAAUAGUAAGAUCCCCAAAUUGGAAUCUACCAUUUGAACUACCAUGCGAUACUAAUGAUUAUGCAAUUUGAGUUGUCCUUGGUUAAAGAUAAGAGAGUAAAUCGUAUGAGAUCCACUUUGCUAGCAAGAUGCUUAAUGAUACACAAAGGAACUAUUAACCACUAAAAAGGAGUUGGUAACAAUAGUGUGUGCACUCAAUAAGUUCUGAUAUUACCUUAUUGGAAGCAAAAUAGUGGUAUUCAAAUACCAUUCUAUGUUGAAGUAUCUUUUGGGAAAGAAGGAAGCCAAAACUAAGCUUAGUCGUUGGAUAUUGCUCUUAUAAGAUUUCCAAUUGAAAUCAAAGAAAAGAAAGGAGUAGAAAAUGCAGUAGCUAGCCACAUAUUUGGGAUUGUGAUUGAAAAUAAAGAAAAGAUAGAUGAUGAUUUUCUUGAUAAAGCUCUGGCCAUGACAAGGAAACUACCAUGGUAUGUAGACAUAGUGAAUUACCUUAGCUAGUUUUUAGUGGAUUGGAUUGUACAAGACAAGAGAUUCUUCCUAUGUAAAGUAAAGAACUACAUGUGGAAGGAACCUUUCUUAUUCAAAUAUUACCCUAAUCAAAUUAUCAGAAGAUGUAUCCAAAAAGAAAAGACAAAAAAUAUGUUGAACAUGAGCUAUGGUGAUGCAUGUGGAGGACACUUUACUUGUAAGAAAACUACUAAAAAGGUUCUACAUUAAGGUCUCUAAUGGAACACUCUUAUGAAAGAAGCUUAGGAGUACACUAAGAGAUGUGAAAAAUGCCAACAUUCAAGAACAAUUAACAAGAGAUGGUCAAUGCCAUUGCAUAACAUCUUGGUUAUGAAGAUAUUUGACUGUUGGAGUGUAGAUUUUAUGGGUCCAUUUCCAUGUUCAUUUAACUUUCAUUACAUUCUAGUGGGGGUUGAUUAUGUAUCAAAAUGAUAGAGCCUAUUCCAGCAAAACAAAUGACCAUAAAGAAGUGUUCAAAUUACUAAGGCAUAGUAUAUUAUCUCAUUUUAGUGUUCCUAGGUUUUUGAUAAGUGGGGGUAAAUACUUUUCUAAUGGGGCCAUUGUAUCAAAAUAUGCACUUAGACAAGUAAUGAAACCUUUAUCAUAUUUUUACCUAGAUGAUGUGAGGAAUUUCUAUGCUAUGUUAACUAGAGAUAAGGAGAUCAGUAAUCAUUUAAACUUCACAGUUUUAGGCAAAUCACAUAAUCAUUAAUGAGGCUUCCUUAUCUAUUACAUUUGGACUUUUUGUUAGCAUGCCUACCAAUAGAGGAUUUUUUUUUUUUUUUUAAGUCAACUAAUUUUAUAACUAUGGCAACUACACCAUGUACUGAGGGUAUUAGUUCACAUAUGGUAGUUUGUAAGUUAGAGAUUCAUCUAGAUUGUUGGUUCAUUGAUUAGGUUUUCAAGAUCAUUUAUCUUCUUACUGGCAUGUUACAUAAUGCUAAGAUUUACCAUUACAGGCUAUCUAUUAUGUGUUCACUAGGCGAUUAUGGUCACUAGUUCACUUGAUUAUGGACACCCUGCUAUGCUUUAUUUAUGAAGUAAAGGAAAAGAAAACUAAAUCCAACUAGUGAUACCCAUUGGUACUUCGUAAUUUUUUUACAACUUAUUUGAUAAAAACGGGAUUCAAAUUUUUAGCUAGAGAGGAAAAGUUAGGGGAUGAUUUUCUUAUGAACUGGUUGAGUAUUGACAAAUAUCAAUAUACAAGGAGUCCAGUAUGGGGUAGAGUAAAAAGAAUCACACUUGAUCUAUGUUACAAUUAGAUAGUAAGGGUCGAUUUGUGAUGACUCCACCACUAGCUAGUGGUCUAAUUUCAUCUAUACCAGAUGCUUCAACUUCUCCUAUUCAUGUUGACACACAACCAACAUCCCUUACAUCUCUUCUAGUAUAGUUGUUACCUUUAAUCACAACACUAAAUUUCACCAUAGUCUCAUCAACAACCACUUUCUCCUUUGUCACUUUGAUGCAAACUUCAUUAUAUAUGAUUCCUUACAAAUAUGUUAUUAUGUGGAAGUUAGACUUACCUAUUCUGGCCAUGGAUCACAUUUUUUCUUUAGUACCUCCUACGGAUGCUAGACCUUUUAGGGAACCACAUUCUAAUAUUCCUAUGACUUUGGUGGCAAGCUUUACUCUAACUGUUUUAGCUUUGACAGAUUCCAUUUUGAUAGACUUAGAUCCCACCAAGUGUACUCAUGUUGCUCUUUUUGUUGAGUCAAACGAUACUAUACUGGCAAUCAUAGUAGUUAGGUGAUUGACAUAGCUCCUAUGGAUGUUUCUCUGAUAGUAGGUGAUGUUGAUACUAUUGGAAUAUAUAUAUAUAUAGGUGAAUAGAAAUUAGAACACAUUUAUUUUUCUUUUGGAAGAAAUUUUGUUUAUUAAUAAACAUAAUUUGUUUCAAAUGAUGUGUCUAGUUUUUUAAAGAUACAACAUUUUCCAAAGGAUAUGUCUAGUGUUUUAAGACACAUAUCUUCUAAUAGUCACCAACAAAAUCAAUAAAUAAGGGCCCCCCUUAUAUUUUCAAAUUCAUUCUCUUAUUCAUCUAUUCUUUCAACUUUUUCUCCUUUCUAGUCUCUUAAACUUUCAAGUCCUUCUUAGCUUCAAGUUUAGUUUUUUUUUUCUUCUAAGUAUUUUUUUGGUAUUCAAGAGAGUAUAAAUCACCUAGUGAUUCGUUUUUUCUUAUAAUUUAGAGUGCUACUAUCAUAAGAAAGUGAUCAUUAUAUCCUGGGAGACAAUCACCUAUGCUAUAAGCACUUAAGUAGGGGGGAAUUUGUCUUAAAGGAUAUAGAGUCAAAAUCUAGCCUUGAUCAACCCCAAAAGACAUCUAGUUAAUAAUUGGGACAACAAACUUAAGAAAAAUUUUCUUUAGUAGCUAACUGUAUUACAAUUGAUUUUUAGUGAAGAUGACUUCUACAUCUUUUAUACUUCCUACUAUUGCACAUAGUGAGAAACUUGAGAAGUUCACUAGGAUGAACUUCAAGAGGUGACAAAAAAAAAAUGUUGUUCUACCUUGCAGUUUUGAAUUUUGCUCGAGUCCUAUAUUAGGAUGCCUCUAUGUUAAGCGAUAGUGAAAUGGAUAAACAAGUGUAGGCAAUUGUGGAAGCUUGGAAUCAUUCUGACUUUUUAUGUAACAACUACAUCCUUAAUAGUUUGGCAACUAUACAAUGUGUAUAAUCUAAUAAGAACUAAUAAGGAACUAUGGGAGUUCUUGGAGAAAAAAAUACAAGAUAGUGGAUGUUGGCUUGAAAACAGUUGUUGUCAACAAAUUUCUAGAAUUCAAAAUGAUAGACUCUAAGGUAGUUAUGAGUUAAGUCUAAGAACUAAAAAUCAUUCUCCAUGAGAUACAUGUAGAAAAGAUGGUGUUGAGCGAGUCUUUCCAAGUUGCAGCUAUAAUUGAAAACUUACCACUAUCUUGAAAAGAUUUUAAAAAUUACUUGAAGUAUAAGCACAAGGAAAUGAGACUUAAAGACUUGAUUGUGAGAUUGAAUAUUGAAGAAGACAAUUGAGUUUUUGACAAUAAGUCAACAAAAACUUCCUAUAUAGUCCAAUGAAAACUUGGUAGAGCAAAAAUCUAGCAAGAAAAGGAAGUACUCUAGUGAAAGUCCUAAUAAAAAGAAUGAUAAGUUCAAAAAAUUCAAUGAAAAAUGCUACGUAGUCAACAAACAAGGCCAUUGAGCUAAGGAUUAUUGCUCCAAAGGACAUGAUAAGAAAAAUCAAGUACAUGUGACCAAAUAAGAGAAAUUGGCAACUAAUGUGCUAGAUCUUAUGCUUUUGUUAUUGUGUUUGAAGCCAAUAUGGUGGAUAACCAAGGAAUGGUGGAUAAAAAUAGGACAUGCUCGUCAUUUAUGUUCAGAUAGAAAGAUGUUGUUUUCUUAUGUACAAAUAAAUGAAAGGGAGCUAUACAUGGGUAAUUCAGUUACUUCCAAAAUUAAAGGCAUAGAAAAGAUGAUACUAAAGCCAAUAUCUACAAAAAAAAUUAGUGUUUAGCUCAUUAUUGAGUAAGAAUUGGUUUAAAAUGGUUUUUGAAUCCAAUAAGUUUGUACGUGCCAAAAAUAGGGUGUAUGUGGGCAAAAUGUAACUUGCAAAUCGACUUUUAAAAUGAAUGUAAUGACUAUCCUGCUAGAUUUCAAGAAUAAUAAAACUAGUUCUUUUGUUUAUUUGCUUGAGUAAUUUAAUUUGUGGCAUGACAGAUUAGGACAUGUGAAUUUUAAUUCUUUGUGCAAAUUGAGAAAUUUAAAUUUCUUGUGUAACUUUCACAUUGAUCCUAAUUAUAAGUGUGGGACAUGUGUAGAGGCUAAGCUAGUUAAAAUACCUUUUCAUUCUAUUGAAAGGAACACUAAGCCUUUGGAAUUAAUUCACAGUAAUAUAUGUGAUUUAAAGUUUGUGUAAACUAGAGGAGAGAAAAAAUAUUUCAUCACUUUCAUUGAUGGUUGCACAAUAUACAGUUAUGUGUAUUUGCUAAGAAGCAAAGAUGAAGCCUUGGGAAUGUUUAAACACUAUAAGAAUGAGGUUGAAAAUCAACUUAGCAAGAAGAUAAAGAUAAUAAGAAGCAAUAGAAGUGGAGAAUAUGAAUCACCUUUUGAUGAGUUCUAUUUAGAACAUGGUAUUAUUCAUCAAACCAUUGGUCCUUAUUCACAUCAAUCAAAUGGUAUUGUUGAACACAAAAACCAAAUAUUAAAGGAAAUGAUGAAUGCUAUGUUGAUAAAUUUUGGUUUACCCUAAAAUUUUUAGGGAGAAACAAUUCUCUUUACAAACCAAAUUUUGAAGAAAAUACCGCACAAGAAAAAUGAUGUAACUCCAUAUGAAUUAUGGAAAUAACGAAAAACAUCUUAUAAAUAUUUGAAAGUGUGGGGGUGUUUAGCUAAAGUAUUUGUUUUAACCCUAAUAUGGUUAAGAUAAGGCCUAAAACAAUUGACUGUGCUUUUAUUGGUUAUGUUAGGAUAUUAAGUUUUGUUUAUAUGUUGGCAAUUUUGUUCCAAUUUAUGUUUGGCCAUAUAAGUCUUUUGAGAUAGUGACUUGCUUUCCAUUGAAGAUCAAGGGUUGUUGUUUAUCUAACCGAGAAGUCAUAGGUACGUUUAAAAAGGUUUGACUUGUGGUAUAUAAGGCUUAUUUGAGGUAUAAAAAGUUUGGUAUCAUUUUUUGGACUUCAAAUAUUUUUAAAAUGAUUUUUCAAAAAGUAGGGGCCGCUCAAGUGGUUAAUCCCGUUUGAGUAGUUAACCCGGACAAGCUACAUGGAAUGCUUAAGUAGAGCGCUCAAGCAGUCAAGUCUGCUCAAGUAGUCUUGAUAGUCUUGCCAAGUUUAGAAAUGUUUUUUUUUUGAAUGAAUUUUACUGAAGCUCUAAUUUAGAAACUUAAGAUACUAAAACUCUUAUGGGUUUUUUUUCCUAUAAAUAUCUUUCUUGUAACCUCUUGAAGGUUAGAGAUUCAGGCUAAGAUGUUAGAGAUCAUAGAUAUCUAAGAGUUUAAAGACCUUUUAUUCUUUAGAGAGACUUCUUGAGAGAAAGCCUUUUUGCCACACCAUUCUCGAUCUCUCAUUCAAGGAUUUGAUUAUUUGAAUUGUGGUUCGUAGGGACUGAAGGAUCUAUUAGGGAGCAAGAGUUGUUGCAUCGUAGAUGUGGAUCACAUUGUACGUACUAAAGAGUAAGUCUUAAGGAUAAAAUGACCAGGUAAAUCUUCAAAACUUGAUUUCAUCGAAUUAUGGAUUUAGAUUGGUAGGUCUUAGACCUCGUGGAUUUUUAUCUCCACAAGUUUGUCGGGGUUUCCACAUAAAAUUUUUGUGUUUCAUUGUCUAUAUAUUUUAUAUUUGAUAUUAUGUUUGAAUUGCCUAACAUAGGUCAAAUUGAUUAAUCCUAAUAUAUUGUAGGGUUUUCUUAAAAAUACCUAUUUAUUCUUGCUUAUAUUUUGGUCGAUGACAUUGAUAAUCUUGAAUUGAUUAUUAAGAUUGUUGGAUGGGUUGUGGUGGUUAUACCUAUAACCAAUUAUUGAUUAAUUUGUUGGGAUUAUUGUUGAAUUUGUUAGGUUAGUUAUUUUGGUGGUUAUUAUUAUUAUUAUCCCUAACAUAUCUCAACAUAUAUCGUUAAUAUUUGGAUAUCAAUUAACCAUAAAAGUUAGUUUUUUUAUUUGGGGCAAAAUCUUGAGAUAAAGUUAAGACAUAUUUUAUAAAUAUUGUUUUAAAAUUUAAAAUCACCCAUUCAUCCCCUCUCUGGGUGUUCCCUAUUAGACUUUUGACUAUUAUUGAAGUGGUAUUUAGAGCAAUACCCAUUUUUCAGGUUAUGCCAAUAAUAUUAGUGCAUAUUGGUUCCUUGCAUAUAAAUCAGACAUUCCUGAUAUUCAUGAAAAUACAAUCAUUGAGUCAAGAAAUGCCUCAUUUUUUUAGAACACAUUUCCUGUAAAAGUAUACUUAAGAAAAAUUCUCAUAAAUCACUACAAAAAAAUUAAGUAUAAUCAACAUUCUUAGAUAUACUUUUACGAUGGAUUUAAACUAUCGUAAAUUUCUAACAAACCUACUCUGUCGCAAAUUGAAUUGUCCGUUACUUAUAUGUAACUAUUUAUUGAUAGUAAUUGCAACAAUAAAUACCCAUUGAAAAAAAUAUAAUUGUGAUGGAUUUAAGCCAUUGCAAAUGUUUAGUUAAUAUACUUUGUCACAAAAGCAAUUUAUUUGUUAAAAAAAAUGAAUUUUCAUAAAUAAUUUUUCAAUAAAAAUUACUACUCAAUAAAAUAGUGUUAUUAUAGUGAAUAAUAAUAUCUCACAUAAUUUUUUCUAAAAGCAAUUGUUCUAUUAUGAAUAUGAAAUAUUUUCACCAUAGUUUUAUGAUAAAUAUGAUCUAACUAGUGACAAAACAAUUUUAUGAUUAUUUUAUUAGUUUCAUACAAUAUUUAUAGAGAACAUAUAUUUUUAAUCAUGAUAGUUUUAACAUCUUAAUAUUUUUUUACUACUUUUUUCUUGUCCAUUUUAGAAAGAAAUUAAUGAAAUAUUCUUAAAAUAUAUAUGAUAUAAAAAUUAAUAAUAGAAAAUUUGAUGUUGUUUUAUUAAAGAAAUUGAGAUAUGUAUGAUAUAAUUUGUGACAUCCAAUAAUAAUAUUUAAAAUUUAAAAUGACAUUUUAUAGAGAUUUAUCUAAUUUUAAUGUGUUCAACAUCAUAAAAGAAAUGAUGAUACAUGUAUAAGUAUUUUUUAUUUUAAAAUGUUGAUAAUUUUAUUUAUAAAUUAUGUUUAUUUCUUAUUUAAUUAUUAUAAAAAAUACACAAGAAUUAAAAUUAAUUAAUUUAUAAUAUCUAUAUAUAUAUAUGUGUGUGUGUGUGUGUGUGUGUGUGUGUGUGUGUGUGUAUGUGUGUAUUUAAGAUUAUUUUAUAUCCGUAUAAUACUUUGAUUAUGGAUGUUUAAUAAACAAAUUUAUUACUUAAAUUAAUGAAAAUUAAUAUUAGUUAACAUUAAUGACAAUAAACAUUAAUUACAACUGAUGAGGGUAGAUAUGACAAUUUGAUAACUUAAAAUAAAUUUUAGUUUAAUUUUAUCAAACACCUUAAUACUUAAAGUAAAAAAUAAGUAAAAUAUUUUAAAUUAAUAAUUUAACUUAAAGUCAAUUUAAGUUAUUAAGUAAUAAGUAUUAAAUUUUACUAAACAUCCUCUUAGUGUCAUAUUUGAUUUUGAAAAUUUAGGUUCAUAUCAUCAUCAUCAUCAUCGUCGUGUUUAAGUAAAAAAAUUUAAAUUAAUAAUUUAACUUAAAGUCAAUUUAAGUUAUUAAGUAAUAAGUAUUAAAUUUUACCAAACAUCCUCUUAGUAUCAUAUUUGAUUUUGAAAAUUUAGGUUCAUCAUCAUCAUCAUCAUCUAUUAGAAACAUUUUGGGUAUAAUAACAUACUUGACAACAAUUAUAUACUAACUUUUAGGUGUUUGGUUAAAUUAUGCAAUUUUGUUUUGGGUCCAUUAUAUGGAAUUGGAUGCCUGCAUAAUUAUCCCAAAAAUAAAUCUAAAAGUUUUCAACCCUGUCCUCUACAAUGGGCCAAAAGUAAAGGUCUAGGUUAAAGUCCAAUCUCUUUUGGGAUUAGGAUUAGGACUGGUUUUAGGCCAACUUUGGGCUAGUAAUUACUAUUAAUUACUUUGACAAGUAAAUAGUCAAGUCAAUGAAAAAAAAUAUGUUGUGGAUCCAUAAGAAUUGAAGGGAGGUCCUCAAGUAGAUCGUAAAAAAAUAAAAUAAAAAUAAAAAAAUAAAAAAAUAAAAAAAUCCUCCUCUACCCUCUCAAGUAAAUGGUAAUAUUUUCAUCCUAAUAAUUUGACAUCUAUGACAUCCUCGUUUUAUUGCAUUAUACAAAAUAAAAAUAGGAUUAAUAACAUAAAAAAUGUAAAACUACAAAUUUAAAAUAAAAAUAAAUUAUAACAUUUAAUUUCACUAUUUAUUUUUUGUGUUUUCUUUUUUCCAUUUUCAAGUUUAUUCUUCUAUGUUCUUUUAUAUUUGAUUUAUAACAUUUUUAGUUAAGAAAAUAGAUAUUGAUGGACUUGCAAUUAAUAGUUCUGUAUCCCUUAUGAUAACUUAGUUAUUUUCAUUUGUUUUUCUCUUAUUGUAAUUUUAGAAUAAAAAAUAAAUUUCCAUUUUUCCUUAUGUUGUUUAUUUAUAGGAGUGGCAAUGGGGCGUGUUCAAGACGGGUCACCCCCAUCCCAACCCCGCCCUAUUUAUUCAAAAUAAUUCUCAUCCUCGUUCCAUAAAAAAAAUUAAAUGGAGCAACACGGGUAUGAGAAAUUCUCAUACUUGCCUUAUUUAAACUUUUUUUAUAAAAUUUAAAUUCUUUAAUUACAUUAAAAUAAAUAUAUUUUAUAAAAAUUAAAUAAUUAUAUUUUUAUAACUUAUUUUAUUGAAAAAAAAGUAUUAUUAUUAUUAUCUAUGUAUUAAAAAUAGGAAAAUAAAAAUUAAAUUAAAUUAAUUUUUAAAAUUAAUUUAUAUGUAAUCUAAGGUGGGGUGGGACGAGACAAAACAAUACUCGAAUUUGCCUUGAACUCGUCGUGGGUUUAAAAAAAAUCCUAAACCUAUCCCAUUUAUUUAAAUUUCAAACCCGUCCUAUUAGGGGCAGGUACCUGAAAAAACCCACCUUCUUGUCAUUGCUGCCUAAGUUCUAAUAUUUUAGUUAACUAGCAAAAGUACCUUGUACAUACACUUCUAUAUAUAUAUUUAAUGUAAAAUUUUGGUUUGACCUAUAUACCUUAAAGAUUUUUAGUUUAUGCUAAGAAGUAGAAGGCAUUCAUUAAACCCACUAUUAAUAUUUCAAAUAAUAAUAAUAAUAGUAAUAAAAUAUAUGGAAAUUUAAAAAUAUUUAUUAAAAAAUUUAAAUUAUUAAUUAUGUCUUAAUUUAUAAUUUAUUUAAUUAGUGAAAAAAUUUAGAAAAUAUAGUUGUACGUAUAGAAAAAAUAGUAAAGUUAUGAUUUAUAAUAUAUAAGUUUUGAUCUAUUUUUUUUUAGUGAUUAAAUCUAUUUUUUGAGUUUCAAAUGAUUUUUAAAAAUUAAUAAAUUCAAUAUAAAGUGUCACUUAAUUAGAAGUUUAUUUUUAUAGUUAGAAAAUUUAUAAAAAUAUAAUUAUGUGCAGAAAAGAAAUAACAUAGUCAUUAUAAACCAAUUUUUAUCCAUAAUUUUUUUGUAUUAAUAAGUUUAUUAUUUUAAUUUUCAAAUUAUUUUUAAAAAAUAAUGAAAUUCAUCAAUGAAUCUAACACAUUAAGUCUUGUUUAAUUUAGAGUUUAUUUAACUAGUAAAAAAAAAUUGGAAAAACAAUGAUUCUGUGUAGAAGAGAAAUUAUAUAGUUGUUCUAUACCAAUUUGUGUUCAUAAAUUUAUGAUAUUAAUUGGAUUAUUAUUUGAAUUUUAGGUUACUUUUAAAAAUGACUAGAUUUGUUAAUGAAUUCAAUGUUUUAAGUUUUGUUUAAUUUAGAAUUUGUUUCCUUAGUGAAGAAAUUGAAAAAUAAUAAUUCUAUGUAAAAAAGAAAUAAUAGAGCUAAUAUAUAUCAAUUCUUGCCCAUAAAUGCUGAUAUUGAUUUGAUCACUAUUUGAGUUUUAAGUUAUUUUUAAAAUUACUAGACUCGUAAGUGAAACUAAUGCAUUAAGUCUUACUUGUGGCAAAAUAAUGUUAUGAGUUUUUUAAAAAUGUAUUCCUUUUAAACAUAGAAAACUAUUUUUUAAUCAUGCGACCAAACAUGCUUUUAAUUUUAUUUUAAAUUGUGAUUACAUUUUAAAAUUAAUAUGUUUCUAUUUAUUGAUUAUAAGUUAUAACUAAUACAUUGUUUAUUGAAUUCUAAAUGCUUAAAACACAAAAAAAAAAUGUCAUUUGAUUAUUUAUUUAUUUAUUUAUUUAUUGUCUAAUCCAAUUAUAUGUCAACUCAUACCACUUCAAUACUAACCUUUUUAUUAGAGAAAUUACAAAAAAUUCAUUUUAGUAAAAGAUUAUGAAAUUCAAGUGAUUCCUUUUUCUAAAUUAUAAAGGGAAAAAACUUAGAAUUGGAAAAUCUAAGAAAAAACUAAAAGAUAUCCUAAAUAUGAAUGGACGAAGACAAGGUGAGGAAACUAAGAGAUUACAUAUCUUAUGUCAUCUUGCUCAAUUUUGGGAAAUUUGACAACUUGAGUAUCAUAUGUGAAAGAUGAUUUGCUGAGUCAUUAUGAUGCUUUCAUGAAUUCUAUUACAUGUUUUUCAUUUUUUUUAAAAAUUUAUUUAUUUUCUAGGGACUAGCAAAGUUCAAAUUGAGGGGGAUGAUUGGAGCCAAAAUAUGUAUUCUAAUAGCACAUGUAUGAUAUGAUUUAUGCAAUAUAAAAGGCUUAACCUCUCUAAAUGAACUUGAAUUGGUUUUAAGGGCCUAGUUAUGGAUCUAACAUAUAUUUUGAACUUAAUCUUGGGUUGAAAGGAUUAAAAGAAUGCAAGUUGCAAGAAUUGUUAAUUUCUAACUAGAAUAAAGGGGCUAAUUAGGCAUAAAUGAGAAACUUAAUUUUUGAGAAACAUGAAGAAACCAGGUAAGUGUAAAAUGAGUGAGUUAUGGGAAUGAAAUAUGGAAAAUGAAUGUCAUGAAAUGAGAUAGAUGGUGAGCAACCAUAAUGGAGCAAGUUUGAAGCAAAUGCAAUUGAAUUCACAUGGAAAAUUUGGAACUUAAACUCUGGCAACAACACAUAACCUAACUUUGAAAUAAUUUCUGAAACCUUUUCAAUGCUUUCUAUUUUAUUUUAUUUUAUAUAUAUAUAGCAAAAUACAUAUGAUUUCAAAGAUUGAGAAGUCAACAAUCCAACGAUUCAAAAAGUUUACAUAUUAGAGCUAAACUAAAAAAGAUAUGAGCAUUUGAAGCAAACUAGAUAGAGAAGGAUGGUGAGUUCAAAAUUGAAUAGCUGAGUUAAAAAUGGUUUUUAGUCAUCUAGAACUCAAGGGAAUGAAAGGAUACUUUUAGUGGAGGCUAAGUUUGAAUCCCUUUAUAUAUUUUGAAUAAGAGAGACCUAUUCCAAACUCCAAAACAUGGCGAAUUAGCAUGGAUAGUGGGUGAGUUUGAAAUUAGUUGGAAAUUUCAAACUCUCCCUUUCAUUUUGAGCUCGUUUAAUUUUGACACUUAUGAAUUUAAAAUUGAUUUUGGACUCACUACAAUUUUGAAUUCAUCUAUUGGUGAUCAUGUUUUGAACCCUUAAAUACAGUAAAAUGAGUUUCAAAUUCCUCUAUCCAAUUUGAAAUAUAAUACUUAUUUAGAACUCAUAAUAUUUAGUUUUUUGGAUUAUUUAUGCCUUUUCUUUGGAAUCAGUGGCUAAUGGAAGUGUACCACAUGUUAGGUUAUUGAAUUUUCUAUAUAAACUCUCUUAGUUCUAGGGUUUAGGAGAGGAGAAAAGUUUGAAGUUUUUGGUGGAAGAAGACAAUAGGUAUGGUUUGUUUCCUAAUUCGCUUUGGCUUAAUACAAUUUUCAAUUUCCUUUGAUUCAAUACUUGUCUUUUUACUCCAUUAUGGAUUAUUUAUGUGACAUCAUUCCCAUGAAAGGCUAAAAGGUCAUCCUAGGGCAUGAAGCAUGAAAACCUAAGAGAUAGAAACUUAGAAGAAUAAUGGAUAAAUAAUUAAAACAAUGAGAUUAAUGAAUGGUUUGAGCUACAAUUUAUGAAUAUUUAGUUCUCUCCAUGUUAGUUUGAUUAGGGUAUGAUAUGAUAUAGUAUUACCCAAUAGUGAUUCUUAGCAAUCUUUGAUAAUUAGUUAUCCCGUUUUUCCCUAUCAUUAUCUAACUAAAGACAAAGCUACAAGGAGUAGAAAAUGUUAAAAGACUAAGAUGGUGUUUGUUUGUUCAUUUUUUUUACUCAAAUCUAAAUAGAACUUAAUUUAACUUAAUUAUAAAUACAACUUAAUUGUAUUAAGUAGUAAGUUGUUUAGUUUUUAUAUUCCAAAAGUCAACAUCUUAAUAUAUUAAGAAAAUUAAUUUUUAUAUUAAUUCUUAUUUGAUCAAAAAGUAAUUUAACAUAUUUCUAUAAAUCUUAGAAUAUAUUCUUUUAAAGCUAAUCAUUUGAAAGAGAGAGAGAGAGAGAGAGAGAGAGAGAGAGAGAGAGAGAGAGUAGAUUGAUAAAACCUAAAUCAAAUUCAAGAAAAAAGUAAUAAUUCAAUUACAUAUUUUCAAAAAUCCAAAGACUUCACAUUUUAUGCUAAUAUCCAAAAUAUAAAUCACAUUUCUUACAAUGGUAAAAGCUACAAAAUGACAAGUUAUUAAAUACUUGAAAGAGUUCAUUUGCAAUUUGAUAUGGAAUUUGUUACAUGAAUACUUGAUUAGAUGCUAUAAAAAAGCUACACAUAGUUGAGGUUUGAUUUGAAUUUUCACUUUCCAAUUCAACUGACUCAUGCCCAAUUGGUGUCUCAGCUGAUUUGUGUUCAGCUGGUGCUCCUUGAUUGAGGAAGUGAUCAACAAAAUUUAUACCUAUAACACCAUACACUAGGGUAGCAAAUACAAAGCUACUAUAGUAUAGUGGCUCUAAGGAUCGUUCACUGGGAAUGAUUUGCAAGCAAUCAAGGAUACCAAUUCCAAGUGAAUUGGUUUUGUUUCAUUUCACGGUUAGUUUAAGAAAUAAAACACAAACUUUGAUUGGUAAAGGUUGAGAUUUAAACUAACUAACUUAACAGAAGUUUGGAAUAAUUUAGGAAGAAAAGCAUUCCUUGGAGAUUUAGGUUCACUGGGGUGGUUCCUCAUGCNNNNNNNNNNNNNNNNNNNNNNNNNNNNNNNNNNNNNNNNNNNNNNNNNNNNNNNNNNNNNNNNNNNNNNNNNNNNNNNNNNNNNNNNNNNNNNNNNNNNNNNNNNNNNNNNNNNNNNNNNNNNNNNNNNNNNNNNNNNNNNNNNNNNNNNNNNNNNNNNNNNNNNNNNNNNNNNNNNNNNNNNNNNNNNNNNNNNNNNNNNNNNNNNNNNNNNNNNNNNNNNNNNNNNNNNNNNNNNNNNNNNNNNNNNNNNNNNNNNNNNNNNNNNNNNNNNNNNNNNNNNNNNNNNNNNNNNNNNNNNNNNNNNNNNNNNNNNNNNNNNNNNNNNNNNNNNNNNNNNNNNNNNNNNNNNNNNNNNNNNNNNNNNNNNNNNNNNNNNNNNNNNNNNNNNNNNNNNNNNNNNNNNNNNNNNNNNNNNNNNNNNNNNNNNNNNNNNNNNNNNNNNNNNNNNNNNNNNNNNNNNNNNNNNNNNNNNNNNNNNNNNNNNNNNNNNNNNNNNNNNNNNNNNNNNNNNNNNNNNNNNNNNNNNNNNNNNNNNNNNNNNNNNNNNNNNNNNNNNNNNNNNNNNNNNNNNNNNNNNNNNNNNNNNNNNNNNNNNNNNNNNNNNNNNNNNNNNNNNNNNNNNNNNNNNNNNNNNNNNNNNNNNNNNNNNNNNNNNNNNNNNNNNNNNNNNNNNNNNNNNNNNNNNNNNNNNNNNNNNNNNNNNNNNNNNNNNNNNNNNNNNNNNNNNNNNNNNNNNNNNNNNNNNNNNNNNNNNNNNNNNNNNNNNNNNNNNNNNNNNNNNNNNNNNNNNNNNNNNNNNNNNNNNNNNNNNNNNNNNNNNNNNNNNNNNNNNNNNNNNNNNNNNNNNNNNNNNNNNNNNNNNNNNNNNNNNNNNNNNNNNNNNNNNNNNNNNNNNNNNNNNNNNNNNNNNNNNNNNNNNNNNNNNNNNNNNNNNNNNNNNNNNNNNNNNNNNNNNNNNNNNNNNNNNNNNNNNNNNNNNNNNNNNNNNNNNNNNNNNNNNNNNNNNNNNNNNNNNNNNNNNNNNNNNNNNNNNNNNNNNNNNNNNNNNNNNNNNNNNNNNNNNNNNNNNNNNNNNNNNNNNNNNNNNNNNNNNNNNNNNNNNNNNNNNNNNNNNNNNNNNNNNNNNNNNNNNNNNNNNNNNNUCGCGGCAUGGUUCGUGCAUCGUCAGAAGGAGAAACACUUACUGUACAAAAGUGUUGCGAAAUUCUCGCAACAAAAUGCUGAUUCCGCAACACUUUAGAGUGAUUGACUUGUAAUGGCUGCAACUUCUUCGUUUCAACUCCGAAUCACGCACCGUUUGAAGCAUUGGAUUGUUGACUUCGUGAGCUUUGAAAUGGUAUAUAGCUUGCAUCAUUUGGACUUCAGAAAGUGCUCCAAAAGUGGCUGCUACGACUGUCAUCAAGAAUAUGCUCCAUGACAGAUUCUCUUUGCUUUUUCUCCUUGCAAUCCGGAUUCACUCUUGGCAAUUGAAUUCUAAGCUUUGCCCAAGAUUCCUCAUAGCUCUCCUCAUUCUUGACUUGCUUUGGUGAUCAAAAUACUAACAAAAACACCAAAACUUACACAAAGUGAUCAAAAUUGCUUUAAAGGAUCCUUAACAUGUCAAUUGAGUUAAAAGGCCUAAACUACUACUCAAAAGUGUUAAAAAGGAUUAAUUAAAGGCUAUCAAAUAGCACUUUUUGAGUAGUAAUCAUCAACCACUUCAUUGUUAGAUUCAUAAAAUAAUCUAUCAACAAUUGAAAUUUUUCGAAGAAAAUUGUCAAUGGAAAAACAUGCCAUGAUGAUUUUUGUUUGAGGAAUAAAUGAAUAUGGUGCCAUUCUCCUCAAUAUUGGGAAGUAUGCCUUAAGAAUACUGAAGGCAUGUUUAAUAACAUUUUUUAAUCUUGCAUGGUGAUAGUUUAAUAUCUCUUAUUUUCCUUUAACUUAACCAUUACUAUGAAAAUCACUCAACCAAUAGCGUACAUUUCAAUAUGUUGCUAUGAAACCCUGAGUGUGUGUAUAUCUUGCAUCUACUAAAUAAUAUUUAUCUAGCAAAAGUAAGCAUUGAGUUUAUUAUUAUUGUGAAUAAAUACAAGUCAUAUUAAAUGCAAUAAUUAUGAAAAAAUUUACUAAGUCAAGGCGUUAAAAAAUUAUGUUGUGGAUUGCAAAUAGUUUCAAUCAAAACUCUUGAAUUAUAAGUUGUUCCUUCCCAUCUAACAACAACAUACCUAAAGAUCAUGUCAAAAUCACAAACUGCUAUAACAUUUGGAAAACAUUGUCCUCUCCUAUGACCUUGAUAUCAUACUUGUUGACUAGCAGGAAGGUAUACAUGGAUAAGAGUUCUAGUAAUUGCACCAACAACACCCUACAUGAUAAUAAUUUUUAAAAAUAUAAAUAAUUAUUUUCAUAUGAGAACAAUACAAAUAUGAUAUGAAUGGUUACUAAUAGAAAAUAAUAUACCUUAAAAAUUUACCUUAGCUGGCGAUUAGAGAUACCAAUUGAACUAUUAUUGAAUGAUGGAGGAGAAAUUUUCUCUUUUGAGAAUUUCACCAUGGGCACUAAAACCUCAUGGAAAUAUUUUUUAAUUGUUUGACAUAGUAUUGGAAUCUAUCAUUAAUUUAUCAAUUCCUAAGAUUAUGACUAAAAGUCACUAAAAACAUGGUCAUUUUCUCUUUAAUAUUCAAAUGUUUAUUGUCAAUGAGCCACUCUUUUCCCCAAAUUAUGUGACAUAGAUAAAUCCAUGCAUUUUCAUCUAUAAUGUUCAUAACAUACGUUAAAUGGAUCGUCUAAAAUCUCUCGAAUGAAAAGUGAACAUGUAAAUGAUAAUGUAGAGACUUGUUGCUUAUUAAUGGAUGAGUUACUUAAUAGUUGAAGUAAUAACACAAUCAAUCUUUUUUUAAAGCCACUUUUCUCUUCUAACUUGAUAUCUUCAUCUUCACUUGAUAAUGAUGAACUUGAACAGUUGGAGUGAUGAGAAAGAUUCAACAUAAGAAUAUUUAUUAUAAAAAAACAUUAUGUAUGAGAUAAAAGCAUAACAACAUAAUAAAAUAAUUUAUAACAAUGUAUAAGUAAUGCUUCUAUUUUUACAUAAUUCUAUUCACUACAUUAUGCGUUCAUUACCAUGAAAGACUAACAAUUUAUAUUACACAUAUUUCAAAUAAUAAAAGUAGAGAAAAAAAAAUAGGAGUAUUCUCAAUAAAGUAUAAAAAGAAAGUCUUAUAAUUGAAAAAAUAUUCAAAUUUAUUAAAUAUCCAAAAUAAGAAAACCAAAUAUACCCACAUUAUAAUCAUCAUAUAGGCAACAUAUCUUAUUAAUUACACAAAUCCAAACCAAAUAUUUAAGUCAUUUAUGCAAACUUUGAAUCUAUCCUAUCGAUUUUUUGUUAUUUUCCAUAUCCAUCCACAACUCUUUAUACUUUUUUUUUCUUUCAAAAUGCAUUAGUUGCUACAUAAUACAAUGGAUCCUCAUAAGUUAAGAGUCUCCUCAAACUUUUCAUGUAUUCCUUCACGGGGUAUUCUUCAAAAUUCUCAAAUAUAUUCACUAUUUCAUUUCUUCUUAAAUUUGUUUUUUCUUUUCUUUUUUAUGUUUUUCUUAGAACCUUUUACUUCAUUAUUAGUAUUUUUUUGGAAAAUUCUCAUCUUUCUUUAAACUAAUUGGAGUUUCACUAGGCAUAGAUGCAUAACAUGUUGAUGAUUCUUAACUCUAGAAGCUAUUACUCUUCUAGAGCUUCAAUUUUUAGACCUUGUAGCUAGUACUCAUCCAAACAAUGCCUCUAAUUCCUCAACAUUUGCUAAUAGUUUGAAACAAAAUUGUUUAACUUCUAGAUAUUUCUAUUUUACAAGAUAAAAAACAAAUUAGUCACAUAUAGAUAUGUAAGAUAAUUGUUUUAAAAAUUCACUCAAAUCUAUAAGAAAACUACUUGCAUAUAUUAUUCUCAUCUUUCAAUUAGCUAAUAGAACGUGUUGGUUACAAAGUUGUAACCAUGUGCUCUCAUAGUCAUUAGUUUAUUCCAAGUGAGAUAUUGCCUCAAAGUAUAGCAUCUUCCAAGUAACUUCUCCAACUCUUUAGCAAUUCAAAGCCAAGCGUGAGGCUUUAAACCUUGACCUAAUCUAAAGCCUUUAUUUUCCUUUUAAAUACAAAAAUCAAUAAAAUGCUUUCUUUAGGUGGGGUUAAUCCAAUUUGUCCCUACUAGUUCCAAUAUUAUGACUAAUUACUACACAAAAAACCAAUAUUAAUGACUAUUUUUUAUUUUUUUAUUUUUUAAAAGCAUAGAUCCAACCAACAUGAUAUUGUCUUAAAGAAGAUAUAAAGAUCAUAUCAAGGGGAUUAAUCAAAACCAAGGUGGCUCUCUUCAACAUCCUCAACCACUAGUUGAAAAAACCAUAAAUCAAAGUCAUGGACAAAAUCCCAUUGAUUUUUGUGUACUUGUAAAUGAAUGAGAAAUACAAAUAUAUUUUUAUGUUAUUCAUUAUAAAUUAGUUCUCUUACAUAUUGAUUCGUUCUCAAUUGGUGUCACAGUUGAUUCAUGUCCUCUCAAUGGUCCUUGACAGUGGUGCCAUUUGAUUCGUGUCCAGCUGGUGUCCCUUGAUUGUGGUCCUCAGAAGGGAGUAAUCAACAAAAUUUAUAACCUAUUACACCAUGUACUAGGAUAGUCUUAGCUAGCAUAGCAUAGUGGCUCUAGGGUCGUUCACUGGGAUGGGUUUUCACUCCACAAUUGAUAUUAAUCCAAAGAUGAAUUGGUGCCUUUUCAUUUCAAGGUUAGCUUUAAAAGAAAACAUAAAGAUGUUUAAAUGAAAAAGAUUUGGUUUUAAACUAACCAAAAAUAGUAACUGAUUUUACUUACAAAGAAAAGUGUUUUUUGGAGUUUAGAUCACUAGGUUCAGGUUCCUCAUACAAAAAGGAGAGUUCUGGUCACUUGUUUCUUUUCCUUGUAUUAGAGAAUUAACAUAUAGUUAAUUCUCUAACCGGUGUGGUACAGAUGCUUCCCAUUAAUGGGUUCAAACACUAAAUCCCUCUCACUGAUGCAACUUGCAAUGGCUCAUACCUCUCACAUAGCAUUUGCCAUUCAAGGUGAUCUUUAACCUUGGAUUAACUGUCUCAAGCUCGCAAGAGAUAACUAAUGGAUGUCUCCUUAGAGUCCAAAAGCUUACCAAGUGUUGGCUAUUCUAGAAAAUCCUACCUUCAAGCCACCUCCCAAAGGCUUGCAAGAGAUAAACUAGUGCAUCUCCAUGGACGGAGAUCACUUGCCUUACCAAGUGUUGGCCCAGGUGAUUUAAAGGCGUUUUAAGUUAACUAAAAAGAUAAAAACCAUUAAUGGGUCACACUUUCUCUUCAUUAAAAACCAAAACAACAAAACUUCCAAUUUAUGCAUCAGGAAACUUACCCGGCUUUCUUCACUCCAAGAGACGAAGAGCCUAGCCUCUCAUCCUCUGAGGAAAAAUCCUCAGAGUUUGAUUGGCUAGAAAGAAAACUAAGGAGAAAACAAAAAUAUAUAGGAAAAACAGAGCAAGUGCUCUGUAAAAUAUAUUUCUUCCUUAUACAAAAGGUUGUCUCCAAGAACAAGCUCCCGAGAGAUUGUAUUCUAAAGAAGAUUACAAACUAUAUAUAAGAGGUUAUUCACCCUUUGUUCUUACUUAAAGACUAAGGAAUCCUAUGAUAGGUGGAUUACACGGACAGUUUGGGGAUUUAGACAUCAAAUAUCUAAAGCAAAAUAUCCCAAAAUGUCGGUCGGAAAUAUCGGGAAGCUUCAGGAGAACACCGCGGCAUUGUGCAAAAUCCGGGUAGUCUGAAAUGUCGGCUGCGGAUGCUCUCCGGAUGAGCGCUAUCAGAAGAUCCGGAUAUGCCUGUCCGGGGAAGUUGAAACACCUCCUCUCCCAUCCGGCAUCAGGGGAUCCAGAUGUGAAAUAUCCGAUCAAAGGAUCCGGACAUGUCUGACCGGACAUAAUUUCGGAUGAGAUAUCCGAACGUCGCAAGGGGGACCGUCUGCGUGUGUAAGGUGUAGGGACCCAUCCGGCUCAACUCCAUCUGGAUUCCCCAAGAGGACAUGCGUCGCCAUGCUAUCCGGCUCAACUCCAUCCGGAUUCUCUAAGAGGACAUGUGUCGCCAUGCUAUCUGGAUCAACUCCAUCCGGAUUCCCCAAGAGGACAUGCGCCGCAAUGCUAUCCGGACUCCCUUAGGGACAAGCACACGACACUCGUGAACAUCACACUCCGGAUGAUAGCAUAUCUUAUCCGAAUAUGUUUGUCCGGAUGGAAAACAUUGACUAAAGCGAGCAAGCCUUGCUACUUCAUUCCGAAAGCCUACCACAGCUCACGUUCCGCCGUCCUCCAAUAGUGUGUCCGGACUCCCUAUUUGGACAUCUUUGCCAUGGAUUCCAAAGAACUCUCCUCAAUUUCGGAUUGCUUUGGUGAUCAAAAAGCUAUGAAAACACCAAAACUUAACACAAUUUGAUUAGAAUUGAUUACAAGGGUCCUUAAUAUGUUAAUUAGGUUAAAAUGUGAUAACUACUACUCAAAAGUGUUUAAAAGAGUUAAUUACAAGCUAUCAAAUAACACUUUUUGAGUAGUAAUCACUCCCCUCAACCGACAUAUUGCUAGUCCCUUAGCAAUGAAGGAGAGAAAAAUAAAAAUAAACAGUACUAUAAUUUACAACAUCAUGCUGAUCAAAAAACAAUUUUCAAGUGACAUGAUGAUCUAACUCUCACAUGGAACAUUAAAGAAAUAAAACUCAAACUUCAAAAAAAGUUAUCAAAUAACUUGUCUAAUCACAAUUCUUAAAGAGAAGGCAUUAUGCAAAUUUAAGUUUUAAAAGAGUUUCCACUCCCAAAGGGUCAAACCUUACUCUUCCACAAAAAUCUAAGUGUUAUUUAUUAGCUUCCGAAUAUAGUAUGUUGAACUAAUUGAUUACUACUCAAAAAGUGCUAUUUGAUAGCCUUUAAUUAAUCCUUUUUAACACUUUUGAGUAGUAGUUUAGGCCUUUUAACUCAAUUGGCAUGUUAAGGAUCCUUUAAAGCAAUUUUGAUCACUUUGUGUAAGUUUUGGUGUUUUUGUUAGUAUUUUGAUCACCAAAGCAAGUCAAGAAUGAGGAGAGCUAUGAGGAAUCUUGGGCAAAGCUUAGAAUUCAAUUGCCAAGAGUGAAUCCGGAUUGCAAGGAGAAAAAGCAAAGAGAAUCUGCUAUGAAGCCUAUUCUUGAUGACAGUCGUAGCAGCCACUUUUGGAGCACUUUCUGAAGUCCAAAUGAUGCAAGCUAUAUACCAUUUCAAAGCUCAGGAAGUCAACAAUCCAAUGCUUCAAACGGUGUGCAAUUUGGAGUUGAAAUGAAGAAGUUGCAGCCAUUACAAGUCAAUCACUCUAAAGUGUUGCGGAAUCAGCCUUUUGUUGCGAGAAUUUCGCAGCACUUUUGUACAGUAAGGUGUUUCUCCUUCUGACGAUGCACGAACCAUGCCGCGAGAAGGGAGCUGGAAACUUCAAGAUGGAAGCCAACUUUGCAGCCUAGUGAAGAUAGCUCGGUCUUGCAAGAUAAUUUCGCAGCCCUCUUGGGUGUUUGCGAAAUUUCGCAGGCCUCAUUUUUCACCUGCGAAAUGGCUCCUGAAGCCUCCCGAAGCUUGCUACCGACAUUGGGAGAUAUUUUCCAUUAGAUUUUUGUUGUCUAAAUCCCAAAAUACUCCUUGUAAACCACCAAUUACAUGAUUCCUUAGUUUUUAAGUUAGUAAAAAGACCAAAUAUCUUUGUAAGAAUUAGUUUUAUAUUAGUUUGAUAUAAAUACCUCUCGGGAGCCUGUUCUCAGGGAGGAGUUCCUUCGGUAAACGUUUGGUAAGCUAGUAAAGGUUUUUUCUUUCUACUGCCUUACCUUCUCACUUUGUAUUUUCAUUUUAUUUCUAAGUUAUGAAUUCUCUGAGGAGUUUUCCCCAGAGAAUGAGUAACUAAACCUCCAAUUCCUUGGAGCUAAGGUUGCCGGGGAAGGUUCCAAGUGCAAGAAUGCAAAGCUCUGCGGUUUUAGCUAAUAAUGAAGAGGAAGUGAAAUCCUUUAGUGAUUUCAAUGUUUUUAGUUAACUUAAAACACCUUGGAGCCACCUAGGCCAACACUUGGUAAGGCAAGUGAUUUCCAACCGUGGAAAUGCACUAGUUUACCCCUUGCGAGCCUCUGGUAGGUGUCUUCAAGGUAGGAUUUUCUAGAAUUACCAACACUUGGUAAGCUUUUGGACUCCUAGGAGGCAUCCAUUAGUUAUUUCUUGCGAGUUUGUGAAGGGAAGUCCAAGGUUAAAGAUCACCUUGAAUGGUAAGUGCUCGUGAGAGGCAUGAACCAUUGCAAGUUGCAUCAGUGAGAGAAUUAAAGUGAAAUCUAAUUGAAGGAGUCUCUGUACAUCACCGGUUAGAGAAUUAACUAUAAGUUGAAUCUCUAAUGCGAGGAAAUGAACCAUCUGACCGGAGCUAUGUCUUUUGCAUGAGGAACCACCCCAGUGAACCUAAAUCUCCAAGGAAUGUUUUCUUCCUAAAUUAUUCCAAACUUCUGUUAAGUUAGUUAGUUUAAGUCUCAACCUUUACCAAUCAAAGUUUGUGUUUUAUUUCUUAAGCUAACCGUGAAAUGAAACAAGACCAAUUCACUUGGAAUUGGUAUCCUUGAUUGCUUGUUCAUCAUUCCCAGUGAACGAUCCUAGAGCCACUAUACUAUAGUAGCUUUGUAUUUGCUACCCUAGUGUAUGGUGUUAUAGGUAUNNNNNNNNNNNNNNNNNNNNNNNNNNNNNNNNNNNNNNNNNNNNNNNNNNNNNNNNNNNNNNNNNNNNNNNNNNNNNNNNNNNNNNNNNNNNNNNNNNNNNNNNNNNNNNNNNNNNNNNNNNNNNNNNNNNNNNNNNNNNNNNNNNNNNNNNNNNNNNNNNNNNNNNNNNNNNNNNNNNNNNNNNNNNNNNNNNNNNNNNNNNNNNNNNNNNNNNNNNNNNNNNNNNNNNNNNNNNNNNNNNNNNNNNNNNNNNNNNNNNNNNNNNNNNNNNNNNNNNNNNNNNNNNNNNNNNNNNNNNNNNNNNNNNNNNNNNNNNNNNNNNNNNNNNNNNNNNNNNNNNNNNNNNNNNNNNNNNNNNNNNNNNNNNNNNNNNNNNNNNNNNNNNNNNNNNNNNNNNNNNNNNNNNNNNNNNNNNNNNNNNNNNNNNNNNNNNNNNNNNNNNNNNNNNNNNNNNNNNNNNNNNNNNNNNNNNNNNNNNNNNNNNNNNNNNNNNNNNNNNNNNNNNNNNNNNNNNNNNNNNNNNNNNNNNNNNNNNNNNNNNNNNNNNNNNNNNNNNNNNNNNNNNNNNNNNNNNNNNNNNNNNNNAGUGAGAUCAGUGAAGAAAAGAAGGAAUCUGAUUCAACAAUCAAAGCAAUUCCAGAGAAAGAGCUUCUGAAGGAAGAAAUGCUGAAGAAAUCAACUUCUCCACCUUUUCCUCAAGCAUUACAAGGGAAAAAGGGGGUUAGAAAUGCAGCGGAAAUCCUAGAAGUAUUGAGACAAGUGAAAGUUAAUAUUCCACUGCUGGAUAUGAUUAAACAAGUUCCAACGUAUGCAAAAUUCCUAAAGGACUUGUGUACUAUCAAAAGAGGGUUGACUGUAAACAAGAAAGCCUUCUUGACUGAGCAAGUAAGUGCAAUCUUACAGUGUAAGUCUCCUUUGAAGUACAAAGACCCUGGAAGUCCUACCAUUUCAGUCAUGAUUGGAGGAAAGGUAGUUGAGAAAGCCUUGUUAGACUUGGGAGCAAGUGUGAAUUUGCUUCCAUACACAGUCUACAAGCAACUGGGCCUUGGAGAGUUGAAGCCAACAGCAAUCACUUUAUCUUUGGCAGAUAGAUCAGUGAAAAUUCCAAGAGGAGUAAUUGAGGAUGUAUUGGUUCAAGUAGAUAAUUUCUACUAUCCUGUAGAUUUUGUUGUUCUUGAUACUGAUCCAACUGUAAAGGAAGCUAAUUUAGUUCCUAUCAUCCUUGGAAGGCCAUUUCUUGCAACUUCAAAUGCAAUCAUCAAUUGUAGAAAUGGGCUUAUGCAACUCACUUUUGGUAAUAUGACACUGGAUCUAAAUAUUUUUUAUAUGUCUAAAAAGCAUAUCACUCCGGAAGAAGAAGAAGGACCAGAAGAGUUAUGUAUAAUUGAUACUUUGGUGGAGGAGCACUGUAAUCAGCAUAUGCAAGACAAGUUGAGUGAAAGUCUUGAGGAUAUUGAGGAAGGUUUUUCUGAAUCUCCUAUUGGGCUUGCUACUCUACAAAGUUGGAGAAAGAUAGAAGGAAUUCUACCUCUGUUCAAUGAAGAAGAGGAGGCAACUGUUGAAGAAGAAAUUCCAAAACUCAAUCUGAAGCCUUUACCUGUGGAGCUGAAAUAUACAUAUCUUGAAGCAAAUAAUCAAUGUCCUGUUGUGAUAUCUUCAUCUCUGACCAGUCAUCAAGAGAAUUGUUUAAUGGAAGUUCUCAGGAGGUGUAAGAAGGCAAUAGGAUGGCAAAUAUCUGAUUUGAAAGGCAUUAGUCCUUUAGUUUGUACUCAUCAUAUAUAUAUGGAGGAGGAAGCAAAGCCAAUUCGUCAAUUUCAAAGAAGGUUGAAUCCUCAUCUACAAGAGGUGGUGCGAGCUGAGGUGCUGAAGCUACUUCAAGCAGGAAUCAUUUACCCUAUAUCUGAUAGCCCUUGGGUGAGUCCUACUCAAGUGGUGCCAAAGAAGUCAGGGAUUACAGUGAUUCAAAAUGAAAAAGGGGAAGAAAUUACUACACGCCUCACUUCAGGUUGGAGGGUGUGUAUUGAUUAUAGGAAGCUGAAUGCUGUCACCAGGAAGGAUCAUUUUCCAUUGCCAUUUAUUGACCAAGUGCUGGAGAGAGUCUCUGGACAUCCAUUCUAUUGUUUCUUGGAUGGGUAUUCAGGGUAUUUUCAGAUUGAAAUUGAUUUGGCAGAUCAGGAAAAGACCAAUUUUACAUGUCCAUUUGGAACAUUUGCUUAUAGAAGAAUGCCUUUUGGGUUAUGCAAUGCACCUGCUACAUUUCAAAGAUGCAUGUUGAGUAUUUUCAGUGAUAUGGUGGAGAGAAUUAUGGAGGUUUUCAUGGAUGACAUCACUGUAUAUGGAGGUACAUUUGAGGAGUGCUUGGUUAAUUUGGAAGCAGUUCUUCAUAGAUGCAUUGAAAAAGACCUGGUGCUGAACUGGGAGAAAUGCCAUUUUAUGGUACGUCAAGGAAUUGUCCUUGGCCAUAUCAUCUCUGAAAGAGGCAUUGAAGUUGAUAAAGCAAAGGUGGAGCUUAUUGCCAAAUUACCAUCUCCAACAACUGUGAAAGGAGUAAGGCAGUUCCUUGGCCAUGCAGGGUUCUAUAGGAGGUUUAUAAAAGGUUUUUCUAGUCUUUCAAAACCUCUUUGUGAGCUGUUAGCUAAGGAUACUAAGUUUAUAUGGGAUGAAAGGUGUCAGCAUAGCUUUGAUCAACUGAAGAAGUUUUUAACAACAGCUCCAAUAGUGAGAGCCCCUAACUGGCAGUUACCUUUUGAACUGAUGUGUGAUGCCAGUGACUUUGCUAUAGGAGCUGUGCUUGGCCAAAGAGAAGAUGGGAAGCCCUAUGUGAUUUACUAUGCAAGUAAAACACUGAAUGAAGCUCAAAGGAACUACACAACUACAGAGAAAGAAUUGUUAGCUGUGGUAUUUGCUUUGGACAAAUUUCGAGCUUAUUUAGUGGGGUCUUUCAUCAUUGUUUUUACUGACCAUUCAGCCUUGAAGUAUUUAUUGACAAAGCAAGAUGCAAAAGCAAGGUUGAUUAGAUGGAUUCUAUUGUUACAAGAGUUCGAUCUUCAAAUCAAAGAUAAGAAAGGAGUGGAGAAUGUAGUAGCUGACCACUUGUCAAGGUUAGUUACAGCACAUAAUUCCCAUCCCUUGCCUAUCAAUGAUGAUUUUCCUGAAGAAUCACUCAUGUUCCUAGUGAAAACUCCUUGGUAUGCUCAUAUUGCUAAUUAUUUAGUAACUGGUGAAAUUCCAAGUGAGUGGAAUGCACAGGACAGGAAACACUUCUUUGCCAAAAUUCAUUCUUAUUAUUGGGAAGAGCCCUUUCUCUUUAAGUAUUGUGCAGAUCAGAUUAUUAGGAAGUGUGUCCCUGAAGAUGAGCAGCAAGGGAUUCUAUCUCAGUGUCAUGAGAAUGCAUGUGGAGGCCACUUUGCCUCUCAGAAAACAGCCAUGAAGGUAUUGCAAUCAGGGUUUACUUGGCCCUCUCUUUUCAAAGAUGCCCACAUCAUGUGUAGGAAUUGUGAUAGAUGCCAAAGGCUUGGAAAGCUAACAAAAAGAAAUCAAAUGCCUAUGAACCCCAUUCUGAUAGUUGAAAUAUUUGAUGUUUGGGGCAUUGACUUCAUGGGACCUUUCCCAAUGUCUUUUGGUAAUUCUUACAUCUUGGUGGGGGUGGAUUAUGUUUCUAAAUGGGUUGAAGCAAUCCCCUGUAAACAAAAUGAUCACAGGGUGGUUCUCAAGUUUCUUAAAGAGAACAUUUUCUCAAGAUUUGGGGUGCCCAAGGCCAUAAUCAGUGAUGGAGGUGCUCAUUUUUGUAACAAACCUUUUGAAGCUCUGUUAUCCAAGUAUGGAGUGAAGCAUAAGGUGGCCACACCUUAUCAUCCUCAGACAUCCGGCCAAGUUGAGCUAGCUAACAGGGAAAUAAAGAACAUCUUGAUGAAAGUGGUGAAUUCCAACAGAAAUGAUUGGUCUAUUAGGCUUCAUGAUUCAUUGUGGGCAUAUAGAACAGCUUAUAAGACUAUUCUUGGGAUGUCUCCCUAUCGUCUUGUCUAUGGUAAAGCAUGCCAUCUCCCUGUGGAAGUUGAAUACAAAGCUUGGUGGGCCAUAAAAAAGCUGAACAUGGAUUUGAUCAAGGCAGGAGAAAAGAGAUUUCUAGACCUUAAUGAGAUGGAGGAAUUGAGAAAUAAUGCUUAUAUCAAUUCCAAAGUUGCAAAACAGAGGAUGAAGAAGUGGCAUGACCAACUCAUCUCCGACAAGAAAUUUCAGGAAGGGCAAAAAGUUUUGAUGUAUGACACAAGACUCCAUAUCUUUCCUGGGAAGCUCAAAUCAAGGUGGAUUGGUCCAUUUGUUAUUCAUCGAGUAUACUCCAAUGGAGUGGUGGACUUAUUGAAUUCCAAUGGCAAUGAUAGCUUUAGAGUCAAUGGAUAUCGUCUUAAGCCAUUCAUGGAGUCAUUCAAAUCAGAAAAGGAGGCAAUCAACCUCCUUGAACCUCAAAAAGCCUAAGUGAAAUGGGUUUGCUGGACGUGGUUUAACCACAGUCCAAAAUUUUUGUAAAUUUUGUAAAUUUUCAAGUUGUUUCCAUGCUUUUGAUUUUAGUUUUUGAUCUUAAAUCAUGUUUUUAGGUGUGUUUUAAUCGUUUUAUAUGAUCCCAGGUGGAAGAAAUUUCAAGGAAAUUGAAAAGAAAAAAAUCGGGCCGAAAUUGAAGCCGAAACAGAGCAAAAACAGGGGAAAAACAGAGCUCUGCGAAAUUUCGCAGGGUGAAGGAAACUUCUGCGAAAUUGGCAUUUUGUUGCCAACCCAUUUCGCAGCACUGUAGAAGCCUCUACGAGUGUGUUUCGCAAUUGCGAAAGUGGAUUUGGCACACGAGUGCCACUUCGCAGAACAGUGGCAUCAAUUUCGCAGCUGCGAAACGCGUUGCGAAAUGAAAAAGCGUGAUUUCGCACCAAAAGUCCUAUUCCGCAGAGUAUUUCGCAAUUGCGAAAGUGGUUUUGGCACACGAGUGCCACUUCGCAGCACAGUGACAUCAAUUUCGCAGCUGCGAAACUCACUGCGAAGUUGCUGCGAAAAUGACAAGUUGCUGCGAAAUUGGCGUUUUGUUGCGAAACUUAAACUGACCCCUGGGCUUCCGUUUUUCCUAUUUAUACCGGUCAAAAGUGCUGCGAAAAGGGUUUCAAAAAUCAGAGCACCAUUCUCGCAGCCCCUUCGUCUUUUUCACCAAGCCACGCCGUCCGUUUCUCCGGUCGUCUUCUCCGUUUAGCAGCGCCGGCCAAAGAUCGAUAGACCAAAAUGGCACGAACGCGAGGGGCAAAGUCUUCAUCCCCUUCGAACCUGAAAAGGAGUCUGCGAAAGGAUCCAAGUCCAGGUUCUGUUCCAGAACCUGCUCCAAAGCCUUCGCCGUCGAGACCACAACCUUCUCCAGUGAAGCCGGCGCCACCAAAGCCGCCGGCAAGGCGAUAUUUAACAAGGUCAGGUGGUCAGCCAUUAAAGAAGAAGCCCAGGGUUGAGAGCUCUGAACCAAUUGAUUUGACUGAGCAAUCCCCUGAGCAGUCCCCAAACCCAUCACCGGUUCAAUCUCCGGUAUCUUCACCAAAUCCUUCACCUGUUCAAACUCCAGUGCCGUCACCGGUUCCCUCGCCAAUUCCCUCACCUGAAGCAACUCCAAUUUCAUCGCCGGUACCACCUCCGGCACCCCAAGAAAAAGCUCAGGAGCCUCCAGCGCCAAUUCCAGAGCCCCAAAUUGCAGCUGAAGCACCUCUGGAAGAAGUGAUCCGAAGACCAAUGCUGCCCCAGCCCCCAAUCGAAGGAAACUUGGAUUGUCGAACACGGGCAUUCCACUCUGAGCUUUGCUUCGAUUUAACAGCAUUCAGAGUGAGGCCAGAGCUUGCCCAAUCCUUCCAGCUGCUGAGGAGAUAUCAUAUGGAGCAUCUGCUAGCUCCAAGGGAUUUUUUCUAUCCCCGGGUAGUCACGGACUUCUACCAGACCAUGACAACCAAAGAAGUAAGAAAUCCAACCUUGAUUCAUUUUAUAAUUGAUGGAAGACAUGGUAUUUUGGGAGCAAGACAUAUUGCUGAAGCCCUGCAAAUUCCUUUUGAGCCAACCCAAUUCGACAAUUUUAAAGUUUGGGUAAAUCCUACUGAGUUAGAGAUGGUUCGCACACUAACCAGAGGAGCUGCAAAUCGGUCACACCUGUUGAGGGGGGAGCUACCUCCAGUGAUGUUUUUGAUUGAUGCCUUUUUGAGGCAUAAUAUCUAUCCCCUGCAGCAUUGGACCCAAAGAAGGGGAGUUCUCCUGGAAGCUCUGUACAGAAUGUCAAAAGGAUUCUUCUUUGGGCCUCAUCAUUUGAUCAUGGCAGCCCUUCUAUACUUUGAGGAAAAGGUUCACAAGAAGAAACUUCAAAGAGCAGAUUGCAUUCCCCUCCUCUUCCCAAGGCUGCUAUGCCAAGUUUUGGAGCAUCUCGGAUACCCCUCUAAGCCUCAGCAGGAAAGAAAGAGAAUAUGCCGUGAGCCAUUUACCCUUGAUAAAUGGAAUAAUAUGACGGCCUACAAAAUUGAUCAGCCUGGGCAGCCUCAACCAGCAGCAAGGAGAGCCUCCCCAAGACAUCCACCUGAAGGUAUUACACUUGCUACUCCUGCCAUCCCUCGAGCUCCACCAGCUGCACCUGCUCCAUCACAGCCAUCCACAUCAGCUGAGCCGAGGAUGGCCAUCCCUAUAUCCGAAUAUCGAGAGCUGUGCCGAGCAUUGGAGACUCUUACAGCUAGCCAGAGCAAUCUUGCUCAGGAGUUGGCAGCCAUCAAAGCAUGCCAGGAGCAGAUGUUAGCCUCUCAGGCUCAACAAGCUGCCAUCCUAAGGCAGCUUCAAGUCCAUUUCGAUCUGCCACAAGCUGUAGAGCCUUCCACUGAGACUCCACCAGAGCCACACUCUCAGCCUUCAGAGUCUCAUCCUCCAGAACCCGAAGCACCAGCUGAUCCACCUACUGGAGAGGCAGAUCCUUCUGCCUAGCACUAUCACCCCACUUAUCAGACAUUAUAUAUAUUUGCUGUUUAUGUUUUUAUGCAUGUUUGUUUUGUUUUAGUUAAAAUGAAAUCCCAGUAUUUUGGUACUAUAUAUGGGAUUCCUUGUGUUACUUGUCUUUUGCAUUGUAAUCAAAUGAAUUCAAAGUAAUACAAGUUGAAUAUUUCUUGUUAAAACUUAGCAUUAAGUUCUCCUUAUUUCCUUUUCUCACAUAUUCUAUUCUUUUUGAAACAUGUGGUUUUCCCCAAUCAAUAUUCGAAUUUGAUAUCAGCAUGGAGGUACCACUUCCUCCCUUUUAUUACAGUCACUCAAAUCACAUUGAGGACAAUGCUCAGUUCGGUUAGGGGGUAUGAGGAAGGAAGUAGUCUAAACCUUUUUGGUAUUGCAAUUAUAUUAGUUAAUUAGUUGUAGUUUUUACUUUUUACUCUAGUGUUACUCUACUCUCCAUGAAUUUUGAGGAAAAAUUUUCAAAUUAAACCAAGAGAAAUUGAACUGUUGUUUUUCACUUGACUUAGAGUAUGGAUUAUGCUUACUAAAGUGGUUCAAUUGUUGAAACUUCUACUGUGAUUGAAUUUAGUUCUUCCACUUUAAACUAUCCACACACUGUGCACAUUAGUUUCCGAUUAUAAGAUGAAAAGCUAUUUCCCUCUUGACUUAGGAUAAUUUUGAGACUUGGUAUAUUUGACCUCAUUUGAUAAAAAUUGAAACACCCUGCAAAAGGCCAAUGAGCCUUUGAAAUAAAGAAAGUUGUUUGCUUGCCUUGAAACCCGAGCAAGGUCUGAGGGGCAUAUGGUGAAAGCCUUUAAAGCCUGGUGCCCUAAGCCUUAAUUGGUUGGGAGUCACCGACCUCAAUGCUCGUUACAAGGGUGAAUAGGUAAAGUUAGCAUAUGGUAGAUGCUUGGGUAUUAGAAGCUCAUUCUUAAAAGUCCGGGGAAAAAUCCGAGGAGUUAGUGGUUGAAAGAUCCUUAAAACUUGGUGCCCUAAACCUUAAUUGGUUGGGAGUCAUCGAUGGACCCCUAUUACAUGGACAAGUCAGAAAGAGUACCCCAGAAAGCUACCUUACNNNNNNNNNNNNNNNNNNNNNNNNNNNNNNNNNNNNNNNNNNNNNNNNNNNNNNNNNNNNNNNNNNNNNNNNNNNNNNNNNNNNNNNNNNNNNNNNNNNNUUACAAGGGGGAAUAGGUAAAGUUAGCAUAUGGUAGAUGCUUGGGUAUUAGAAGUUCAUUUUUAAAAGUCCGGGGAAAAAUCCGGGGAGUUAGGGGUUGAAAGAUCCUUAAAACUUGGUGCCCUAAACCUUAAUUGGUUGGGGGUUAUGGAGGGACCCCUUUUACAUGGACAAGUCAGAAAGGGUUCCCCCGAAAGCUCCCUUUUUUAAAAAAAAAAAAAAAAAAAAAAAAAAAAAAAAAAAAAAAAAAAAAAAAAAUGAAAGUGUGUUAUUUUCUUAUUGAUUUUGGUCAGGUUGCUAAAGUGUUGAAAAGAGUUAGGUUGGGGGGUGAGAUUAGUAGCAUAUUAUUCUCGGAAUCUAAGGAACCAAUACACAUAGAUUUUUGUGGAAGAUUGAAGUUUAGUUCUUAGAAAAUGAAAUGAUUUUAAAACUUCAGUUUGCAUAAUGCACUCCCUUGAUUGAUAGUGCUUAGCAUAGUUUGUUAUGACUCUUGUUGAGAUUUGGGUUUGUAUUUCUUCAAUGCUUCAUGUGAGAAAUAGAUCAUCAUGCCACUUGAGAAUUAUUUUCCUUUGAGUAUGAUGUUGUAAAUUUUAGUUUAGUUUGUUAUUUAUUUUCAGUUUUCUCUCCUAUAUUGCUAAGGGACUAGCAAUAUGUCGGUUGGGGGGAGUGAUUACUACUCAAAAAGUGCUAUUUGAUAGCCUUUAAUUAAUCCUUUUUAACACUUUUGAGUAGUAGUUUAGGCCUUUUAACUCAAUUGGCAUGUUAAGGAUCCUUUAAAGCAAUUUUGAUCACUUUGUGUAAGUUUUGGUGUUUUUGUUAGUAUUUUGAUCACCAAAGCAAGUCAAGAAUGAGGAGAGCUAUGAGGAAUCUUGGGCAAAGCUUAGAAUUCAAUUGCCAAGAGUGAAUCCGGAUUGCAAGGAGAAAAAGCAAAGAGAAUCUGCUAUGAAGCCUAUUCUUGAUGACAGUCGUAGCAGCCACUUUUGGAGCACUUUCUGAAGUCCAAAUGAUGCAAGCUAUAUACCAUUUCAAAGCUCAGGAAGUCAACAAUCCAAUGCUUCAAACGGUGUGCAAUUUGGAGUUGAAAUGAAGAAGUUGCAGCCAUUACAAGUCAAUCACUCUAAAGUGUUGCGGAAUCAGCCUUUUGUUGCGAGAAUUUCGCAGCACUUUUGUACAGUAAGGUGUUUCUCCUUCUGACGAUGCACGAACCAUGCCGCGAGAAGGGAGCUGGAAACUUCAAGAUGGAAGCCAACUUUGCAGCCUAGUGAAGAUAGCUCGGUCUUGCAAGAUAAUUUCGCAGCCCUCUUGGGUGUUUGCGAAAUUUCGCAGGCCUCAUUUUUCACCUGCGAAAUGGCUCCUGAAGCCUCCCGAAGCUUGCUACCGACAUUGGGAGAUAUUUUCCAUUAGAUUUUUGUUGUCUAAAUCCCAAAAUACUCCUUGUAAACCACCAAUUACAUGAUUCCUUAGUUUUUAAGUUAGUAAAAAGACCAAAUAUCUUUGUAAGAAUUAGUUUUAUAUUAGUUUGAUAUAAAUACCUCUCGGGAGCCUGUUCUCAGGGAGGAGUUCCUUCGGUAAACGUUUGGUAAGCUAGUAAAGGUUUUUUCUUUCUACUGCCUUACCUUCUCACUUUGUAUUUUCAUUUUAUUUCUAAGUUAUGAAUUCUCUGAGGAGUUUUCCCCAGAGAAUGAGUAACUAAACCUCCAAUUCCUUGGAGCUAAGGUUGCCGGGGAAGGUUCCAAGUGCAAGAAUGCAAAGCUCUGCGGUUUUAGCUAAUAAUGAAGAGGAAGUGAAAUCCUUUAGUGAUUUCAAUGUUUUUAGUUAACUUAAAACACCUUGGAGCCACCUAGGCCAACACUUGGUAAGGCAAGUGAUUUCCAACCGUGGAAAUGCACUAGUUUACCCCUUGCGAGCCUCUGGUAGGUGUCUUCAAGGUAGGAUUUUCUAGAAUUACCAACACUUGGUAAGCUUUUGGACUCCUAGGAGGCAUCCAUUAGUUAUCUCUUGCGAGUUUGUGAAGGGAAGUCCAAGGUUAAAGAUCACCUUGAAUGGUAAGUGCUCGUGAGAGGCAUGAACCAUUGCAAGUUGCAUCAGUGAGAGAAUUAAAGUGAAAUCUAAUUGAAGGAGUCUCUGUACAUCACCGGUUAGAGAAUUAACUAUAAGUUGAAUCUCUAAUGCGAGGAAAUGAACCAUCUGACCGGAGCUAUGUCUUUUGCAUGAGGAACCACCCCAGUGAACCUAAAUCUCCAAGGAAUGUUUUCUUCCUAAAUUAUUCCAAACUUCUGUUAAGUUAGUUAGUUUAAGUCUCAACCUUUACCAAUCAAAGUUUGUGUUUUAUUUCUUAAGCUAACCAUGAAAUGAAACAAGACCAAUUCACUUGGAAUUGGUAUCCUUGAUUGCUUGUUCAUCAUUCCCAGUGAACGAUCCUAGAGCCACUAUACUAUAGUAGCUUUGUAUUUGCUACCCUAGUGUAUGGUGUUAUAGGUAUAAAUUUUGUUGAUCACUUCCUCAAUCAAGGAGCACCAGCUGAACACAAAUCAGCUGAGACACCAAUUGGGCAUGAGUCACUAAUCUCUCCCCCCAACCUAGUUCUUUUUCAAAGCUUAGCAAACUCAUCAACCUCCAAUAGGCUAAGAACGCACCUCUUUUCUUUCACACUUUUUUUUUUCAUUGUAGGAGUACAAGGCUAAAGGUAUUCUUUUCUAAAUUGUCCAUUUAACGGGGGUCCAUCGAUGACUCCCAACCAAUUAAGGUUUAGGGCAUCAAGCUUUAAGGAUCUUUCAACCACUAACUCCUCGGAUUUUACCCCGGACUUUUGAGAAUGAAUUUUAAUACCCAAGCACCUACAGUAUGUGAAACUCCACCUAUUCACCCUUGUAACGAGCAUUGAGGUUGGUGACUCCCAACCAAUGAAGGCUUAGGGCACCAGGUUUUAAAGAUUUUCACCAUAUACCCCUCAAACCUUGCUCGGGUUUCAAGGCAAGCAAACAUUUUUUUCUUUCUUUCUUUAUUCUUUUUUUCAAAGGCUCAUUGGCCUUUUUACAAGGUGUCCCAACACUAUUAAAUGAGGUCAAAGGUACCAAGUCUAAAAUUUUCCUAAGUCAAGAGGGCAAUAGUUUUUCAUCUUAUACUCGGAACCUAUUGUGCACAGUGUGUGGAUAGCUUAAAGUGGAAGAACUAAGGUUGAAUUCAAUAGAAACUUCAACAAUUCAUCAACUUUAGUAAGCAUAAUACAAGCUCUAAGUCAAGUAAAAAGACAAAAAUUCAAUUUCUCCCUUUUCAUUUUGAGAAUUUUUCCUUAAUAACCAUGGAGAGUAGAAUAAAAAACUUUUUUUUUUUAAAAAAAAAUUUAAAUUAAGCAAAAAACAACUAAAUUACCAAAAUAACUUAGCAUUAAUAACAAUACUUCCUUCCUCAGCUCUCCCCCCAACCAAGGUGAACAUUGUCCUCAAUGUGACAAAAGCGAUUGAAAAAUAGGGAAGAAGUGGUACCUCCUGAGUGACAUGGAGUCUGAGUUGUAUAGGAGAAACCACAUGUUUCAAAAAAAACAAAAGAGUUAGUGAGUAGAGGAAAUAAAAAAAAUGUCAAGCUUAAACAAAAAUGAUGUCUAUAUAUGAUGUAUCAUCAGUAAUACAUCCAAUCCCAGAAUAUAAGACAUCAAAAUAUGGAUUUAUUUAUAUUAAUAUAAUAUGUAAAGAUAAAAAUUAAAGAGAUGAUCAAGUAAUGGUAAGGUCCUGUGGAGUUGAUGCAUCUGUGGUGGCCUCUUGAGUGGGUUGGAUCAAGACUUUGGCCUCUGCUUUGGUAGUCUCCUUAGGUGGCAUAGUCUACUCAGCUGGAGCUAUGGGCUCUAAUGGUUUUAAGGAGGUAAGAAAUGGAGUAAGAGGCUUUGUGUGUGUGAUCUCAGUGAGAGGGCUCUCCUGCAACAAAAUGGGAAUUUUGCAGCCCAUUUCACAGCUGCGAAAUUCCCGUUGGUGCUUUGCGCGAUCGUCUUCAAACGGCCAUAACUUCUUCGUUUCAACUCCAAAUCAAACACCGUUUGAAGCUUUGGACUCCUGACUUCCCAAGCUUCAAAAAGAGAUAUACUAUGCAUAAUUUGAGCUCCAGAAAGUCCUUCAAAAAUAUGUCCAACAGUAGCGAAAUGCAACAUUUCCGUUCUGAUUUUGAUCAUCCAAAAACCUAUAUUACAUCAAAACAAAUUCAAAUUAAAAUUAAAGCAUUGAAAUCAAAAUUAAAACAAGUAAUGAAUAAAACAAAAAGUUAUGGACUAGUUAGUCUUUAGAAAGACUAAGUCCAUCAAAAAAUUUGAUCCUGAUUUAGCUUGCCCGGAUCCCAUAUGAAGUUUGCAUCCCUCACUUGAGACUUGCUCAGUAUGAUUUUGCCAUACAAAGCUUGGGGGAAAGGUGGAGGGAUGUGAUUCUUCAUCAUUUCUUCCUUGAUGAUUAUCCUAUGUGGUUCUUCAUUUAUGUAGUCAUCUUUCUUUGUACUUUUCUCAUUUUUCUUUCCUUUAUUUUCCUCCCUCUUUUCUUUCUCUGUUUCACUCUCUACCUUUUUCUCUAGCUUGGAUGUGGGCAGAUCAACCUCUUUACCACUCCUCAAAGUGAUAACCGUUUUAACUUCCUUCACCAUUGAAGAUUCUCCCUUUUGAGCUUCCACUUGAUGGAUACCCUUGGAAUUUUGAUAAGGUUGAGAAGGAGAGUUUUCUUUCUCUUGCACUUUGUUGAGGUUGGCAAACCUUGAGAUUGAAUAUUAGAGAUUAUCUAUCUUCUGAGAUAAAUCAUUUUGCACUUUAUCCAUCUUCUUGUUCAAUGAACUCUCUACACUGUCAAUUCUUUGACUGAGCUGAGCAUUGAUGGAUUUUUGAGCUCCAACAAAGUCUCCCACGACCUUGCUAAGAUUCACCAUAGCUUGAUGAAGGUUUGAGGCUUGCUGAGGUGCUUGAGCAGGUUGCUGGUACUGAGGUGGCUGUGCUUUCCAAGAGAAAUUUGGAUGGUCCCUCCAAUUGGAAUUGUAGGUGUUGCAAUCACCAAACAUUUCCCUCACGGCUGGAAUGGUAGGACACUCUUCCACCAAGUGCUCAUAAGAUAGACAAAUGACAAAAGGCAUAGCUUGCAAUGGUGUCUGAGAGAUGGCUUGCACUUCUUGUAUCUUCUUCAUUUCUAGCUCUUCCAAUCUCCUUGCCAUAGCUGCAAUCUUUGCUUUCAUGUCUAUGUCUUCAUUCAAAAUAUACAUCUCACCCUUAGCAUUAGGUUGAGACGUCAUUCUUCCCAUAUCUCUAGCAUUUGGUUCAUCCCAUCCUCUUGAAACUUCAGCCACAUAUCUCAUGAAGUUCAUGGCUUCCUCUGCUAUCUCGUAUUCAACAUGGCAUGCACAACUAGAAAUUUGAGAAUUAAAAAUAGAGAAAACAAAACAAAACAAAAGAAACAAAAAUUCUAGAGAAGAAAAAAUUAUUAAGAUUAACUAAAAGCUAUACUAAAAAUAUGAACAAAGAAAAAGAAACAAAUAAAGAAAAAAAUUAGUAAAAAGAAAAGAAAAGUCACCAAACUUGUGAUGAAGAUCACAAGUACUCUGAAAAGGUCAUAUCACUGUAAAGUGGCACCAUCCCCGGCAAAGACGCCAUUUGAUUCGUUCCCAAUUGGUGUCUCAACUGAUUCAUGUCCUCUCAAUGGUCCCUGACAGUGGUGUCAUUUGAUUCGUGUCCAGUUGGUGUCCCUUGAUUGUGGUCCUCAGAAGGGAGUAAUCAACAAAAUUUAUAACCUAUUACACCAUGUACUAGGAUAGCCUUAGCUAGCAUAGCAUAGUGGCUCUAGGGUCGUUCACUGGGAUGGGUUUUCACUCCACAAUUGAUAUUAAUCCAAAGAUGAAUUGCUGCCUUUUCAUUUCAAGGUUAGCUUUAAAAGAAAACAUAAAGAUGUUUAAAUGAAAAAGAUUUGGUUUUAAACUAACCAAAAAUAGUAACUGAUUUUACUUACAAAGAAAAGUGUUUUUUGGAGUUUAGAUCACUAGGUUCAGGUUCCUCAUACAAAAAGGAGAGUUCUGGUCACUUGUUUCUUUUCCUCGCAUUAGAGAAUUAACAUAUAGUUAAUUCUCUAACCGGUGUGGUACAGAUGCUUCCCAUUAAUGGGUUCAAACACUAAAUCCCUCUCACUGAUGCAACUUGUAAUGGCUCAUGCCUCUCACCUAGCAUUUGCCAUUCAAGGUGAUCUUUAAUCUUGGAUUACCCGUCUCAAGCUCGCAAGAGAUAACUAAUGGAUGUCUCCUUAGAGUCCAAAAGCUUACCAAGUGUUGGCUAUUCUAGAAAAUCCUACCUUCAAGCCACCUCCCAAAGGCUCGCAAGAGAUAAACUAGUGCAUCUCUGAUUCGUGCCCAAUUGGUGUCUCAGCUGAUUCGUGUCCAGCUGGUGCUCCUUGAUUGAGGGAGUAAUCAACAAAAUUUAUUACCUAUAACACCAUACACUAGGGUAGCAAAGAAAAAGCUACUAUAGUAUAGUGGCUCUAGGAUCGUUCACUGGGAAUGAUUAACAAGCAAUCAAUGAUACCAAUUCCAAGUGAAUUGGUCUUGUUUCAUUUCAAGUUUAGCUUAAGAAGUAAAAAUACAAACUUUGAUUGGUAAAGGUUUAGACUUAAACUAACUAACAUAACAAAAGUUUGGAAUAAUUUAGGAAGAAAAGCAUUCCCUGGAGAGUUAGGUUCACUGGGGUGGUUCCUCAUGCAAAAGACAUAGCUCCGGUCAGAUGGUUCAUUUCCUCGCAUUAGAGAUUCAACAUAUAGUCAAUUCUUUACCCGGUGUUAUACAGAGACUCCUUCAAUUAGAUUUCACUUUAAUUCUCUCACUGAUGCAACUUGCAAUGGUUCAUGCCUCUCACGAGCACUUACCAUUCAAGAUGAUCUUUAACCUUGGACUUCCCUUCACAAACUCGCAAGAGAUAACUAAUGGAUGUCUCGUUAGAGUCCAAAAGCUUACCAAGUGUUGGUAAUUCCAGAAAAUCCUACCUUAAAGUCACCUCCCAGAGGCUCGCAAGGGGUAAACUAGUGCAUUUCCAAGGUUGGAAAUCACUUGCCUUACCAAGUGUUGGCCCAGAUGACUCUAAGGUGUUUUAAGUCAACUAAAAACAUAGAAAUCAUUAAAGGAUUUCACUUCCUCUUCAUUACUAGCUAAAACCACAAAGCUCUGCAUUUUUGCACUUGGAACUUUCCCCGGCAACCUUAGCUCCAAGGAACUAGAGGUUUAGUUACUCAUUCUCUGGGGAAAACUCCUCAGAGAAUUCAUAACUUAGAAAUAAAAUAAAAAUACAAAGUGAGAAGGUAAGGCAGUAGAAAGAACUGAACUUUACUUGCUUACCAAAAACUUUACAAAAGGCUCUCUUCUCCUCUCUGAGAAUAGCUCCCGAGAGGUAUAUAUAUGCAUAAUAUAAAACUAAUUAUUACAUAGAUAUUUAGUCUUUUUACUAACUUAAAAGCUAAGGAAUCUUGUAAUUGGUGGCUUACAGGGAGUAUUUUGGGAUUUAGACAACAAAAAUCUAAUGGAAAAUAUCUCCCAAUGUCGGUAGCAAAUAUCGGGAGGCUUCAGGAACCAUUUCGCAGGAGAAAAAUGGUGUCUGCGAGAUUUCGCAGACACUCAAGAGGGCUGCGAAAUAAUUUCGCAACACCAAGCUAUCUUCACAGGGCUGCGAAGUUGGCUUCCACCUUGAGGUUCCCAGCUUCCUUCUUGCGGCAUAAAUCGGGCAUCGUCAGAAGGAGAUACACCCUACUGUACAAAAAGGCUGCGAAAUCACUUCGCAACAAAAGGGUGAUUUCGCAACACUUUUGCAAAAAGCUUCCUUCAGCUCGGAGUGAUUGGCUUGCAAUGGCUGCAACUUCUUCGUUUCAACUCCGAAUUAUGCACCAUUUGAAGCAUUGGAUUGUUGACUUCCUGAGAUUUGAAAUGGUAUAUAGCAUGCAUCAUUUGGACUUCAGAAAGUGCUCCAAAAGUGGCUGCUACGACUGUCAUCAAGAAUAGGCUUCAUGGCAGAUUCUCUUUGCUUUUUCUCCUUGCAAUCCGGAUUUACUCUUGGCAAAUGACUUCUAAGCUUUGCCCAAGAUUCCUCAUAGCUCUCCUCAGUCUUGACUUGCUUUGGUGAUCAAAAUACUAACAAAAACACCAAAACUUACACAAAGUGAUUAAAAUUGCUUUAAAAGAUCCUUAACAUGCCAAUUGAGUUAAAAGGCCUAAACUACUACUCAAAAGUGUUUAAAAGGAUUAAUUAUAGGCUAUCAAUUAGCACUUUUUGAGUAGUAAUCACUCCCCCCAACCGACAUAUUGCUAGUCCCUUAGCAAUAUAGGAGAGAAAAAAGAAAAUAAAUAGCAAACUAAUCUAAAAUUUACAACAUCAUGCUGAAAGAAAAUAAUUCUCAAGUGGCAUGAUGAUCUAAUUCUCUCAUGAAACAUUAAAGAAAUAUAAACCCAAAUUUCAACAAGAGUCAUAACAAACUAUGCUAAACACUGUCAAUCAAGGGAGUGCAUUAUGCAAACUGAAGUUUUAAAAUCAUUUCCACUUUCAAAGAACCAAACUUUAAUCUUCCACAAAAAAAUCUAUGUGUAUUGGUUUCUUAGCUUCCGAGAAUAAUAUGCUAAACUAAUCUCUCCCCCCAACCUAUCUCUUUUCAACACUUAGCACACUGACCAAAAUCAAUAAGAAAAGAACACACUUUUUUUUUUUUUUUUCAAGUAGCUUUAUGGGGUACUCUUUCUGAAUUGUCCAUGCAAUGGGGGUCCAUCGAUGACUCCCAACCACUUAAGGUUUAGGGCACCAAGCUUUAAGGAUCUUUCAACCACUAACUCCUCGGAUUUUUCCCCGAACUUUUAAGAAUGAAUUUCUAAUACCCAAGCAUCUACCAUAUGCUAACUCUACCUAUUCACCCUUAUAACGAGCAUUGAGGUCGGUGACUCCCAACCAAUUAAGGCUUAGGGCACCAGGCUUUAAAGAUUUUCACCACAUACCCCUCAGACCUUGCUCAGGUUUCAAGGCAAGCAAACAACUUUCUUUAUUUCAAAGGCUCAUUGGCCUUUUGCAGGGUGUUUCAAUUUUUAUCAAAUGAGGUCAAAUAUACCAAGUCCCAAAAUUAUCCUAAGUCAAGAGGGAAAUAGUUUUUCAUCUUAUAAUCGGAAUCUAAUGUGCACAGUGUGUGGAUAGCUUAAAGUGGAAGAACUAAAUUUAAUUUCAAUAGAAGCUUCAACAAUUGAACCACUUUAGUAAGCAUAAUCCAUACUCUAAGUCAAGUGAAAAACAACAGUUCAAUUUCUCUUGGUUUAAUUUGAAAAUUUUUCCUCAAAAUUCAUGGAGAAAAGAGUAACAAGAGUAAAAAGUAAAAACUACAACUAAUUAACCAAUAUAAUUGCAAUACCAAAAAGAUUUAGCAUACUUCCUUCCUCAUUCCCCCCAACCGAACUGAGCAUUGUCCUCAAUGUGAUAUGAGUGACUGUAUUUAAAGAGAGGAAGUGGUACCUCCUUGCUGAUAUCAAAUUCGAAUAUUGAUUGGGGAAACCACAUGUUUCAAAAAGAAUAAAAGGUGUGAGCAAAGGAAAUAAGAAUAACUUAAUGCUAAGUGUUAACAAGAAAUAUUCAACUUGUAUUACUUUAAUUUCAUUUGAUUACAAUGUAAAAGACAAGUAACACAAGGAAUCCCAAAUAUAGUACCAAAAUACUGGGACUUAUUUUCAACAAAAAAAACAAAAAAAAACAUAGAAAUAUUAGAUAUAUAAUAGUCUGAUGAAUGGUGCUGGGUCUAGGCAGAAGGAUCUGCCUCCUCAGUAGGUACAUCAGCUGGGGCUUGGGGUUCUGGAGGAUGAGACUCUGAGGGAUGAGAGUGUGGCUCUUCUGGAGUAGAAGUGGAGGGCUCUACAACUUGUGGCAGAUCGAAAUGAAUUUGGAGCUGCCUUAAGAUGGCAGCUUGUUGAGCCUGAGUGGCCAACAUCUGCUCUUGGCAUACUCUGAUGGCUGCCAUCUCUUGAGCAAGACUGCUCUGAGAAGCUGUAAGAGUCUCCAAUGCACGGCACAACUCUCGAUAUUCAGAUAUAGGAAUGGCCAUCCUCGACUCAGCUGAUGUGGAUGGCUGAGAUGAAGCUGGAGUAGCUGGUGGAGCUCUAGGAAUGGCAGGAGCAGCAACUGUUAUACCCUCAGGUAUAUGUCUUGGGGAUGCUCUCCUCGCAGCUGGCUGAGGCUGCUCAGGCUGAUCAACUUUGUAGGCCGUCAUGUUAUUCCAUUUAUCAAGAGUGAAUGGCUCACGGCAUAUUCGCUUUCUCUCCAGCUGAUGCUCAGAGGGAUAUCCCAAGUGCUCCAGAAUUUGGCAUAGCAGCCUUGGAAAGAGGAGGGGAAUGCAAUCAGCUCUUUGAAGCUUCUUUCUGUGCACCUUCUCUUCGAAAUAGAGAAGGGCUGCUAGGAUCAGAUGAUGAGGCCCAAAGAAAAAUCCUUCUGACAUCUUGUAAAGAGCUUCCAGGAAGACUCCCCUUCUUUGGGUCCAAUGCUGCAAUGGAUAGAUAUUAUGACGCAAAAAGGCAUCAAUCAAAAACAUAACUGGAGGAAGCUCCCCUCUCAGCAGAUGUGAUCGAUUUGCAGCUCCUCUGGAAAGGGUGCGCACCAUCUCCAGCUCAGUAGGAUUUGCCCAAGCUCUAAAAUUAUCGAAUUGGGUUGGCUUAAAGGGAAUUUGCAGGGCUUCAGCAAUAUGGCACACUCCCAAUAUGCUAUGUCUCCCAUCGAUAGUGAAAUGAAUUAAAGUUGGAUUCCUGACCUCUUUGGUUGUCAUGGAUUGAUAGAAAUCCGUGGCUAUCCGGGGGUAGAAAAAAUCUCUCGGAGCUAGUAGAUGCUCCAUAUGGUACCUCCUCAGCAGCUGGAAUGAUUGGGCAAGCUCUGGCCUCACUCUGAAUGCUGCUAAGUCAAAGCAAAGCUCGGAGUGGAAUGGCCGUGUUCGACAAUCCAAGUUUCCCUCAAUUGGGGGCUGAGGUAGGAUUGACCGCCUGAUUACUUCUUCCAGAGCUGUUUCGGAUGGAAUUUGGGGCUCGGGAAGUGGUGCUUGAGGCUCCUAAGCUUUUGCUUGCGGCGCCGGAGAUGGCACCGGCGACGGAACUGGCAUUGGAAUAGGCGAGGAAACUGGAGACGGCAUUGGAGUUGGAAUUGGUGAAGGCUCUGGAGAUUGCUCAGUCAAAUCAAUGGGUUCUGAGCUUUCCACCCUGGGUCUCUUCUGUAGUGGCUGACCCCCUGACCUGGUAAGGUAUCGUCUUGCCAGAGGCUUUGGCGGCGCGGGCUUUACUGGAGAAGGAAUUGGUCUUGACGGCUGCGAAGGCUCUGGAGCAGAAUCUGGAACUGGCUCCUUUCGCAGACUCUUCUUGCGAUUUGAAGGAGAUGAAGAUUUAGCCCCUCGAGUUCGCGCCAUUUCGGAAUACCGAACUUUGACCGACGUUGCUAAUCGGAGAAGAUGACCGGAGACUUGGACGACGAGGCUCACUGAAGAAGACGAACAAUUUGCGAGAAUGGUGCUCUGAUUUUUGAAACCCUUUUCGCAGCUCAAAUGACCGGUAUAAAUAGGAAAAACGAAAGCCCAAGGGUCAGUUUGAGUUUCGCAACAAAACGUCAAUUUUGCAGCAAAAUGCCAUUUUCGCAGCAACUUCGCAGUGCGUUUCGCAGCUGCGAAAUGAGAGUUCCUGUGUUGCGAAGUGGCACUCGUGUGCCAAAACCACUUUCGCAAUUGCGAAAUACCCUACGAAAUGGGACUUUUGGUGAGAAAUCAUGCAUUUCCACUUCGCAAUGCGUUUCGCAGCUGCCAAAUGGAUGCUACUGUACUGCGAAGUGGCACUCGUGUGCCAAAUUUGCUUUCGCAGCUGCGAAAUACCCUCGCAGAGACUUCUACAGUGUUGCGGAAUGGUUUGGCAACAAAAUGCUCAUUUCGCAGAAGUUUCCUUCACUCUGCGAAAUUUCGCAGAGCUCUGUUUUUCCUCUGUUUUUGCUCUGUUUUUGCUCCGAUUUCGACCCGAUUUUUUUUUUAAAAUUUUGUUGAAAUUUCUUCCACCUAGGAUCAUUCAAAACUAUUAAAACACACCUAAAAACAUGAUUCAAGAUAAAAAACUAAGAUCAAAUGUACGGAAAAAACUUGAAAAUUUACAAAAUUUACAAAAAUUUUGGACUGUGGUAAACCACGUCCAGCAAACCCUUCUUUGCUUAGGCUUUUUGAGGCUCAAGGAGGUUGAUUGCCUCCUUUUCUGGUUUGAAUGGCUCCAUGAAUGGCUUGAGACGAUAUCCAUUGACUUUGAAGCUAUCCUUGCCAUUGGAAUCCAAUAAUUCCACCACUCCAUUGGAACAUACUCGGUGAAUAAUGAACGGACCUAUCCACCUUGACUUGAGCUUCCCAGGAAAGAUAUGGAGUCUUGUGUCAUACAGUAAAACUCUUUGCCCUUCCUGAAAUUCCUUGUUGGAGAUGAGUUGAUCAUGCCACUUCUUCCUCCUCUGUUUUGCAACUUUGGAAUUGAUAUAAGCAUUAUUUCUUAAUUCCUCCAUCUCAUUAAGGUCUAGAAAUCUCUUUUCUUCGGCCUUGAUCAAGUCCAUGUUCAGCUUCUUUAUUGCCCACCAAGCUUUGUAUUCAACUUCCACAGGGAGAUGACAUGCUUUACCAUAGACAAGACGAUAGGGAGACAUCCCAAGAAUAGUCUUAUAAGCUGUUCUAUACGCCCACAAUGAAUCAUGAAGCCUAAUAGACCAAUCUUUUCUGUUGGAAUUCACCACUUUCAUUAAUAUGUUCUUUAUUUCCCUGUUAGCUAGCUCAACUUGCCCGGAAGUUUGAGGAUGGUAAGGUGUAGCCACCUUAUGCUUCACUCCAUACUUGGAUAGCAGGGUUUCAAAAGGUUUGUUGCAAAAAUGAGCACCUCCAUCACUGAUUAUGGCUUUAGGCACCCCAAAUCUUGAGAAAAUGUUCUCUUUAAGAAACUUGAGAACCACCCUGUGAUCAUUUUGUUUACAGGGGAUUACCUCAACCCACUUAGAAACAUAAUCCACCCCCACCAAGAUGUAAGAAUUACCAAAUGACAUUGGGAAAGGUCCCAUGAAGUCAAUGCCCCAUACAUCAAAUAACUCAACUAUCAGAAUGGGGUUCAUAGGCAUUUGAUUUCUUUUUGUUAGCUUUCCAAGCCUUUGGCAUCUAUCACAACUCCUACACAUGAUGUGGGCAUCUUUGAAAAGAGAUGGCCAAGUAAACCCUGAUUGCAAUACCUUCAUGGCUGUUUUCUGAGAGGCAAAGUGGCCUCCACAUGCAUUCUCAUGACAAUGAGAUAGAAUCCCUUGCUGCUCAUCUUCAGGGACACACUUCCUAAUAAUCUGAUCUGCACAAUACUUAAAGAGAAAGGGCUCUUCCCAAUAAUAAGAAUGAAUUUUGGCAAAGAAGUGCUUCCUGUCCUGUGCAUUCCACUCACUUGGAAUUUCACUAGUUACUAAAUAGUUAGCAAUAUGAGCAUACCAAGGAGUUUUCACUAGGAACAUGAGUGAUUCUUCAGGAAAAUCAUCAUUGAUAGGCAAGGGAUGGGAAUUAUGUGCUAUAACUAACCUUGACAAGUGGUCAGCUACCAUAUUCUCCACUUUUUUCUUAUCUUUGAUUUGAAGAUCGAAUUCUUGUAACAGAAGAAUCCAUCUAAUCAACCUUGCUUUUGCAUCUUGCUUUGUCAAUAAAUACUUCAAGGCUGAAUAGUCAGUAAAGACAAUAAUGAAAGACCCCACUAAAUAAGCUCAAAAUUUGUCCAAAGCAAAUACCAUAGCUAACAAUUCUUUCUCUAUAGUUGUGUAGUUCCUUUGAGCUUCAUUCAGUGUUUUACUUGCAUAGUAAAUCACAUAGGGCUUCCCAUCUUCUCUUUGGCCAAGCACAGCUCCUAUAACAAAGUCACUGGCAUCACACAUCAGUUCAAAAGGUAAUUGCCAGUUAGGGGCUCUCACUAUUGGAGUUGUUAAAAAUUUCUUCAGUUGAUCAAAGCUAUUUUGACACCUUUCAUCCCAUAUAAACUUAGCAUCCUUAGCUAACAGCUCACAAAGAGGUUUUGAAAGACUUGAAAAACCUUUUAUAAACCUCCUAUAGAACCCUGCAUGGCCAAGGAACUACCUUACUCCUUUUACAGUUGUUGGAGAUGGUAAUUUGACAAUAAGCUCCACCUUUGCUUUAUCAACUUCAAUGCCUUUUUCAGAGAUGAUAUGGCCAAGGACAAUUCCUUGACGUACCAUAAAAUGGCAUUUCUCCCAGUUGAGCACCAGGUCUUUUUCAAUGCAUCUAUGAAGAACUGCUUCCAAAUUAACUAAGCAUUCCUCAAAUGUACCUCCAUAUAUGGUGAUGUCAUCCAUGAAAACCUCCAUAAUUCGCUCCACCAUAUCACUGAAAAUACUCAACAUACAUCUUUGAAAUGUAGCAGGUGCAUUGCAUAAACCAAAAGGCAUUCUCCUGUAAGCAUAUGUUCCAAAUGGACAUGUAAAAGUAGUCUUUUCCUGAUCUGCCAAAUCAAUUUCAAUCUGAAAAUACCCUGAAUACCCAUCUAAGAAACAAUAGAAUGGAUGUCCAGAGACUUUCUCCAGCACUUGGUCAAUAAAUGGCAAUGGAAAAUGAUCUUUCCUGGUUACAGCAUUCAGCUUUCUAUAAUCAAUACACACCCUCCAACCUGAAGUGAGGCGUGUAGUAAUUUCUUCCCCUUUUUCAUUUUGAAUCACUGUGAUCCCUGACUUCUUUGGUACCACUUGAGUAGGACUCACCCAAGGGCUAUCAGAUAUAGGGUAAAUGAUUCCUGCUUGAAGUAGCUUCAGCACCUCAGCUCGCACCACCUCUUGUAGAUGAGGAUUCAACCUUCUUUGAAAUUGACGAAUUGGCUUUGCUUCCUCCUCCAUAUAUAUAUGAUGAGUACAAACUAAAGGACUAAUGCCUUUCAAGUCAGAUAUUUGCCAUCCUAUUGCUUUCUUGCACUUCUUGAGAACUUCCAUUAAACAAUUCUCUUGAUGACUGGUCAGAGAUGAAGAUAUCACAACAGGACAUUGAUUAUUUUCUUCAAGAUAUGUAUAUUUCAGCUCCACAGGUAAAGGCUUCAGAUUGAGUUUUGGAAUUUCUUUUUCAGCAGCUACCUCCUCUUCCUUAUUGAACAAAGGUAGAAUCUCUUCUAUCUUUCUCCAACUUUGUAGAGUAGCCAGCCCAAUAGGAGAUUCAGACAAACCUUCCUCAUUAUCCACAAGACUUUCAUUCAACUUCUCCUGCAUAUUUUGAUUACAGUCCUCCUCUACCAGAGUGUCAAUAAUGCACACCUCUUCUGGACCCUCUUCUUCUUCCGGAGUGAUUUGCUUUUUAGACAUGUAGAAAAUAUUGAGAUCCAGUGUCAUGUUACCAAAAGUGAGUUGCAUAAGCCCAUUCCUGCAGUUGAUGAUUGCAUUUGAAGUUGCAAGAAAUAGCCUUCCUUCCAAGGAUGAUAGGAACUAAAUUAGCUUCCUUUACAGUAGGAUCUGUAUCAAGAACAAUAAAAUCUACUGGAUAGUAGAAAUUAUCCACUUGAACCAAUACAUCCUCAAUUACCCCUCUUGGAAUUUUCACUGAUCUAUCUGCCAGAGAUAGAGUGAUUGUUGUUGGCUUCAACUCUCCAAGGCCCAAUUGCUUGUAGACAGAAUAAGGAAGCAAAUUCACACUUGCCCCCAAAUCUAACAAGGCUUUCUCCACUACCUUUCCUCCAAUCAUGACUGAAAUGGUAGGACUUCCAGGGUCUUUGUACUUCAAAGGAGACUUACAUUGUAAGAUUGCACUUACUUGCUCAGUCAAGAAGGCUUUCUUGUUUACAGUCAACCCUCUCUUGAUAGUACACAAGUCCUUUAGGAAUUUUGCAUACGUUGGAACUUGUUUGAUCAUAUCCAGCAGUGGAAUAUUAACUUUCACUUGCCUCAAGACUUCAAGGAUUUCAGCUGCAUUUCUAAUCCCCUUUUUCCCAUGUAAUGCUUGAGGAAAAGGUGGAGAAGUUGAUUUCUUCAGCAUUUCUUCCUUCAGAAGCUCCUUCUCUGGGAUUACUUUCAUUGUUGAAUCUGAGUCCUUCUUUUCUUCACUGAUCUCACUCUCUUUAUCUUCCAUUUCCUUCCCUUUCUUUAUCUCUUCUUCUUUCUAAACAUGUGGCUUGGGUGUUGGUUGCUCAAUUUUCUUACCACUCCUUAGAGUGAUCAAGGCUUUGACAUCUUUCAUUUGUGAUGAUUCUCCCUCUUGGCUUUCCACUUCAUGGACACCUUUGGGGUUUUGGUGAGGUUGAGAAGGAAAUCUUCCCUUUUCUUGCAGUGUAUUCAAAUUUGUAAGCCUUGAAAUUGAAUAUUGGAUGUUAUCAAACUUUUGGUUCAUAUCAUUUUGCAUUCCAUCCAUCCUUUUAUUCAACAUACUCUCCACUCUAUCAAUUCUUUGAUCGACUCGAGCAUUGGUGGCUUCUUGCUUUUGAAUAAAAUCUCCCAUUACCUUGCUGAGAUUAGCUAUUGCUUGUUCAAUACUUGAAGAUUGCUGAGAUGGUGGAUCCGGCUGUUGGUACUGAGUUGCUCUGGCCUUCCAUGAGAAAUUUGGAUGAUUCCUCCAACUUGAGUUGUAGGUAUUUCCAUAAGGAGCAUUGUUAUUGGGCCUGAAUUGUCCAACAACAUUUGCUUGAUCUCUAUACAUUUCCCUUUCAGCUGAAAUUGCAGGGCAUUCCUCCACCAAAUGUUCAUAUGAUUGACAAUUGGGACACAGCUUCACUUGCACUGGUGCUUCAGCAACAGCUUGCACUUCAUGUAUUCUUUUCAACUCUAGCUCCUCCAAUCUUCUUGUCAUAGCUGCCAUCUUUGCUUUCAUGUCAUCAUCUUCUUUCAAGGUAUACAUCCCAACCUUAGCAUUGAAAGCAUUCAACUGAGACUUCAUCUUUCCCACUUCUCCUUUAGUUGGUUCAUCCCAUCCCCUUGAAACAUCUGCUACAUAGCUCAAGAAAUCCAUAGCUUCCUCUGGAUUUUUGCUCAUGAAAUCUCCUCCACACAUUGUCUCGAGGAGUUGCUUCAUUGAGGAGGACAUACCAUCAUAGAAAUAACUCACCAAUAGCCAAGUAUCAAAGCCAUGGUGAGGGCAAGCAUUUAUAGCUUCCAUAUAUCUUUCCCAACACUCAUAGAAUUUCUCAUUCUCUUUAGCUGAGAAGUUUGAAAUUUGCCUUUUCAAGCCAUUUGUUCUAUGAGUGGGAAAAAAUUUCUUAAGGAAUUCAGCUUGUAAGUCAGUCCAAGAGCGGAUACUCCUUGGCCUUAAAGAAUUAAGCCAAAUUUUGGCCUUAUCCUUUAAAGUAAAAGGAAAUAACUUAAGCCUCAUCAAAUCAAUUGAAGCUCCUCCCUCUUGGAAUGUAUUACAAACAUCUUCAAAUUCCUUGAUGUGUGCAUACGGAUUCUCACUUUCCAUCCCAUGGAAAGUGGGUAGAAGUGGAACAAGAUAUGGUCUGAUCACUAGCUGCUCUGUAAGGGGCACUAUACAUGAUGGUGCACUCAUACGAGGUGGAUGCAUACGGUCCCUCAUUGAUCUGAAUUCAUUAAGAUUAUCUUGAUGACCUUGGUGACUAUGCUGAUCUUCAGGUGUAGCUUCCAUGAUAUUCAAGAUUACUUCGAAUUCUCUUUUCUAAGGUGUAUCACACUUAACAAGCCUUCCUCCACUAUCUCGUAUCCACUUUGGCAUACACAACUAGUAUCUAUCUGCAACUUAAAUAAAAACAGAGGACAACAAGAGAAACAGGGCUACAACAACAAAAUUAAACUAGGCUAAAUUUUAAAAGAUAAACUUAGAUUAUGAAUAAAUAAAUAAAGAAUGAAAAUUAGUAAAGUGAAAGAAACUUUACCAACUUGUGAUGAAAAUCACAAGUGCUCAAAAAAUGGUAUCACUAUAAACUUGACACUCAUUCCUCGGCAACGGCGCCAUUUGAUUCGUGCCCAAUUGGUGUCUCAGCUGAUUCGUGUCCAGCUGGUGCUCCUUGAUUGAGGGAGUAAUCAACAAAAUUUAUUACCUAUAACACCAUACACUAGGGUAGAAAAGAAAAAGCUACUAUAGUAUAGUGGCUCUAGGAUCGUUCACUGGGAAUGAUUAACAAGCAAUCAAUGAUACCAAUUCCAAGUGAAUUGGUCUUGUUUCAUUUCAAGUUUAGCUUAAGAAGUAAAAAUACAAACUUUGAUUGGUAAAAGUUUAGACUUAAACUAACUAACAUAACAAAAGUUUGGAAUAAUUUAGGAAGAAAAGCAUUCCUUGGAGAGUUAGGUUCACUGGGGUGGUUCCUCAUGCAAAAGACAUAGCUCCGGUCAGAUGGUUCAUUUCCUUGCGUUAGAGAUUCAACAUAUAGUCAAUUCUCUACCCGGUGUUAUACAGAGACUCCUUCAAUUAGAUUUCACUUUAAUUCUCUCACUGAUGCAACUUGCAAUGGUUCAUGCCUCUCACGAGCACUUACCAUUCAAGAUGAUCUUUAACCUUGGACUUCCCUUCACAAACUCGCAAGAGAUAACUAAUGGAUGUCUCGUUAGAGUCCAAAAGCUUACCAAGUGUUGGUAAUUCCAGAAAAUCCUACCUUAAAGUCACCUCCCAGAGGCUCGCAAGGGGUAAACUAGUGCAUUUCCAAGGUUGGAAAUCACUUGCCUUACCAAGUGUUGGCCCAGAUGACUCUAAGGUAUUUUAAGUUAACUAAAAACAUAGAAAUCAUUAAAGGAUUUCACUUCCUCUUCAUUACUAGCUAAAACCACAAAGCUCUGCAUUUUUGCACUUGGAACCUUCCCCGGCAACCUUAGCUCCAAGGAACUAGAGGUUUAGUUACUCAUUCUCUGCGGAAAACUCCUCAGAGAAUUCAUAACUUAGAAAUAAAAUAAAAAUACAAAGUGAGAAGGUAAGGCAGUAGAAAGAAUUGAACUUUACUUGCUUACCAAAAACUUUACAAAAGGCUCUCUUCUCCUCUUUGAGAACAACUCCCGAGAGGUAUAUAUAUGCAUAAUAUAAAACUAAUUAUUACAUAGAUAUUUAGUCUUUUUACUAACUUAAAAGCUAAGGAAUCUUGUAAUUGGUGGCUUACAGGGAGUAUUUUGGGAUUUAGACAACAAAAAUCUAAUGGAAAAUAUCUCCCAAUGUCGGUAGCAAAUAUCGGGAGGCUUCAGGAACCAUUUCGCAGGAGAAAAAUGGUGUCUGCGAGAUUUCGCAGACACUCAAGAGGGCUGCGAAAUAAUUUCGCAACACCAAGCUAUCUUCACAGGGCUGCAAAGUUGGCUUCCACCUUGAGGUUCCCAGCUUCCUUCUUGCGGCAUAAAUCGGGCAUCGUCAGAAGGAGAUACACCCUACUGUACAAAAAGGCUGCGAAAUCACUUCGCAACAAAAGGGUGAUUUUGCAACACUUUUGCAAAAAGCUUCCUUCAGCUUGGAGUGAUUGGCUUGCAAUGGCUUCAACUUCUUCGUUUCAACUCACUCCGAAUUGCGCACCGUUUGAAGCAUUGGAUUGUUGACUUCCUGAGCUUUGAAAUGGUAUAUAGCAUGCAUCAUUUGGACUUCAGAAAGUGCUCCAAAAGUGGCUGCUAUGACUGUCAUCAAGAAUAGGCUUCAUGGCAGAUUCUCUUUGCUUUUUCUCCUUGCAAUCCGGAUUUACUCUUGGCAAAUGACUUCUAAGCUUUGCCCAAGAUUCCUCAUAGCUCUUCUCAGUCUUGACUUGCUUUGGUGAUCAAAAUACUAACAAAAACACCAAAACUUACACAAAGUGAUUAAAAUUGCUUUAAAGGAUCCUUAACAUGCCAAUUGAGUUAAAAGGCCUAAACUACUACUCAAAAGUGUUUAAAAGGAUUAAUUAUAGGCUAUCAAUUAGCACUUUUUGAGUAGUAAUCAAUCUCCAUGGACGGAGAUCACUUGCCUUACCAAGUGUUGGCCCAGGUGAUUUAAAGGCGUUUUAAGUUAACUAAAAAGAUAAAAACCAUUAAUGGGUCACACUUUCUCUUCAUUAAAAACCAAAACAACAAAACUUCCAAUUUAUGCAUCAGGAAACUUACCCGGCUUUCUUCACUCCAAGAGACGAAGAGCCUAGCCUCUCAUCCUCUGAGGAAAAAUCCUCAGAAUUUGAUUGGCUAGAAAGAAAACUAAGGAGAAAACAAAAAUAUAUAGGAAAAACAGAGCAAGUGCUCUGUAAAAUAUAUUUCUUCCUUAUACAAAAGGUUGUCUCCAAGAACAAGCUCCCGAGAGAUUGUAUUCUAAAGAAGAUUACAAACUAUAUAGAGGAGGUUAUUCACCUUUUGUUCUUACUUAAAGACUAAGGAAUCCUAUGAUAGGUGGAUUACAAGGACAGUUUGGGGAUUUAGACAUCAAAUAUCUAAAGCAAAAUAUCCCAAAAUGUCGGUCGGAAAUAUCGGGAAGCUUCAGAAGAACACCGCAGCACUGUGCAAAAUUCGGGUAGUCUGAAAUGUCGGCUGCAGAUGCUCUCCGGAUGAGCGCUAUCAGAAGAUCCGGAUAUGCCUGUCCGGGGAAUUUGAAACGCCUCCUCUCCCAUCCGGCGUCAGGGGAUCCAGAUGUGAAAUAUCCGAUCAAAGGAUCCGAACAUGUCUGACCGGACAUAAUUUCGGAUGAGAUAUCCGGACGUCGCAAGGGGGACCGUCUGCGUGUGUAAGGUGUAGGGACCCAUCUGACUCAACUCCAUCCGGAUUCCCCAAGAGGACAUGUGCCGCAAUGCUAUCCGGACUUCCUCAGGGAGAAGCACAUGUCACUCGUGAACAUCACACUCCGGAUGAUAGCAUAUCUUAUCCGGAUAUGUUUGUCCGGAUGGAAAACAUUGACUAAAGUGAGCAAGCCUUGCUACUUUAUUCCGAAAGCCUACCACAGCUCACGUUCCGCCGCCCUCCAAUGGUGUGUUCGGACUCCCUGUCUGGACAUCUUUGCCAUGGAUUCCAAAGAACUCUCCUCAAUCUCGGAUUGCUUUGGUGAUCAAAAAGCUAUCAAAACACCAAAACUUAACACAAUUUGAUUAGAAUUGAUUGUAAGGGUCCUUAAUAUGUUAAUUGGGUUAAAAGGUGAUAACUACUACUCAAAAGUGUUUAAAAGAGUUAAUUACAAGCUAUCAAAUAAUACUUUUUGAGUAGUAAUCACAUAUAGACUAAUACAUGGUAAUCUUUUGUUUCUUUCCCAUUUAUGAAGUGUUUUAUGAGAUAUGGUCUCAAGUAGGUGAGUAAUCUACAUAGAAGAUAUUCAUGGUCUAUGUUGGGAAAGACUUCCAACAUGAAAGAUCUAAAUUUAUCAAGGAAAAUAUUGUCCAGGGAUUUUGUUACCAUUCAAGGAGCUAAACGUUUGUAUGUUUGAGAUUUUAGAUAGAAAACAAUGAUAAAAAAUGACCUUAUUUGAUCUAACCCCAUUUUGGAAAUGUAAUUUUCAAAUAAUCCACAUGCUAAGUUGUUGUAUUAGUUUGUGUUGUGAUUAUAAAAAGAUUUAGACAAAUGCCUACAUCAAUGGAUUAUAUAUUAGGUUCAUCAUGGUAUUUCAAAAUGAAUUGCAACUACAAGUGAACAUAAGUAGGACUAUUGUUGGUGGUUAUGACUCAUGAUGCCUAAUGACAAAACUAGUACAUAAAUUGAAGUAUAAAUAGGAAAUUCAAUAGGAUAUGAAUCUAGUUGUGUGUGAGCAUUCACAUCAAAUUUGUAGGGUAUGAGUAAGGGCAAUUGUAGUAUCAUGGAAAGCUAUAGAGAAGUUUUGGAGAGUUGCAAAGUAUUGGGAGCUUUAAUGAGAUAUAGGAAUAGUAAAACUGUGACAAUUAAUCUAUUGGGGUUCUAAGAAAGUUACUAUAUACAUAAUAUUACUCUAGUUAUUUUUUAUAGUUUGAAGUAACAUCAAAGGAUAAGAAAUCAUACUAACCAUGUUUGUAUUUCUAAACAUGCACAACAUGCUAAUACAAAAGCCCUUAGGAGGGUCCAUAGAAAAUUUACUCUAUGAAUGACAUAAACAUUUCUUUCAAGUUUGUAUAGUUGAUUAAACAAACCUAUUGUCCUCUGUGCAUUAUCUUCCUUUUAUUCAUUCACAAAGCAUCUAGAAGUCCCAAUUGGUAUGAAAAAAGAAAUGCCUACUUGAUACAUAAAAGGCACCCAUCCUUACUAAUUUGCUUAAAGUAGAGGGCUCAAAUGUUUUCUUUACCAAAAAUUAGGUGAAGAACACCUCAAAAAUUAAUGGACACUGAGAGAGUAGAGUGGAAUCAGAGGUUAGAGAAGUUGAAAAAUCUAAUUUAAAAAAGAGAUGCUAGUUGAAGAAGUUGUAUCCAAUUCUAAGCUUUCAAAUAAAAGAAAUUUUAUUUAGUACCCUAUGAAGCAUAAAGAUCUAGCUAAAAUUCCAUUAGUGAUAAAAACUAACAGGAAUCUCUUUCAACAACUUAGUAAGCUUAUUAAAGAUCAAGUGAUAAUGGCAGAUGCCUCUAUAUUCUUUGAGUUAGAAAAUGAGUCACUAAGACACUCUUAUCUAUUGAAGCCUAUUGAUGCAACUACAUUACCUUUUGUACUUUACCAAGGAAAAUUUUCUAAACUAGUUGAACUUAAGGAAGUACUAGUAGAGUAUGCCUCCACCAGUGUAUACUCUACCAAUUCAGAAUAUGAAAAAGGUUCACUAAGACAAAGUUACCCUAUAGAGUCUAGUUAAUUUGAGUAAAUUGCCAAUGGUACCAUACUAGAAAAAUAAUUGUUGAACGGAAGAACUUUGACAUUAAAGAAGUAUUGGUUGAAGACAUAUUAACCAACUCAGAUUGUGAGGUUAAGUUGCUAUGGCACCAACACUAACCAGAACGAUUGGACUUCACUUAGCUACCUUUGGUAUUGUUUAGAAAUGAAGUUUCUAAAACAGAAUGAAACUUUGAGAAAGAAUGGUGGGAGGCUUAUACAAGUUCAAAGUCAGAAAAGGACUAACCAAGUGUGAAGUACCCCAUGGAACCAGUAGUUUUGGGCAAAUUUCAUCCUCUUUCUACCUUAUGUGAAAAUCCAGAUGUUAUAGAAUAUAAAUUAUUGGUUUUGGUUUUUUUUGAAUUAUUGGCUUAUGUCCACUCCAUUCACUCUUUGCCUUAUGUGAAAAAUAAGAUUUCAUAAAGGACAAGUAUUAAAUAGGUGAUGCUUAAAACAUAAAACAGAAAAUAUACCAUGGGCAAGAAAAUGAGCUUCAAAGAAAGUACCCUUAUCAAUUAAACCAAAAUGGAAAUUUGGAAUCCUAGGUCUAGAAAUAUUUUUAGAAAUUAUUUUGUCAAAACAAACAAAACCUAAAAUUUUUUUCCAUCAUCUAAUUGAAAACUUUCUAAUAUCAAGUCCAAAAAAAGAAAAAAGAAAUAAAAAAAAAACCAUCUUAUUGACCCAUUAAACAAUACAUGUAAGCAACAAUCAAAAAUCGCAAUAGUUAAACAAUCAAGUAAAUUAGAAAUCAUAAAAAACACAAACGAAAUAAGUCCACUAAUUUGAUAGGGAAAUAUUAAGAAUAUAUGAGAUUAUCUUGAAAAAACCUAAGUGAGAAAUUGGAAAAGAAAUCUACUUGAAAAAGUUAAAAGUACAGUAAUGGCAUGCAAUAUGAGGAUAAAAGGUCUUCAGAUCUUCAUAUCAUAACAAUGAGGGUUGAGGGUGAAUAUGAGAUGUUCAAAUUGUGUUAUGGUGCUUUCCAAAUAUUACUUUUAGUAUUAAAAAAAAUCCAAAUAUUUUAACUUUUUCUAUUGAGUCGAUUUUUAUUUUUUUUAAAUAAGUGAUAAGUUAAGAAAAAGUUAAAAAAAAAAAAUAGCACGUAAAACUUGAACCUAUAAUAAAUUUCAUCCACUUGGUGAUGUUUAGGAAUUUGAUUUAAAAAGGUAAAAAUCAGGUUCUAGAUGAAUAUUUGAGUUAUGGAACUUUGGUUGAUUGCGAAUGACCAUGAAUCCUAAAAUCUCUAAGAUCACCCUACUUAAAAAACCCUUGUUUUCUCUAACUUCUAUUCUCACAGUUGGAUAGUGGAAACCCCUAAACUUAAAUCAUUUGAAUUAAUAUUGUCAAUUUAAUUUUCUUUAUUUAGUUAUAUUUAAUAAAAAUCAAUUCAUAUACCAUUUUCAUUUUUGGAUUUAAAUUAAAACAACUUAUUUAACCUAGUAUUGGUGAGUUUCUAUGGGUUAAUUCCUAAAGAUGAUACCCAAAAUGUUAUAAAAGUAGUAAUAACUCUUUUUCUAGUUUUUCUUGGUCAAAGUUGGUAUGUAAUUAGACUUAAGUAUUUUGGUACAACAAAGAAACGCAAUUAGGUAGCACAAAAAAGAGUCAAGUAAUUGGGAAAACAAGUACAAGAUCAAACCGAUAAAUUAGAGAAGCAAGCUUAAUGGUUGGAAGAGAAAGCUCAACCACUAGAGGAGCAAUCUCGGUGACUAGAUGCAAUUACCUAAAACCAACAUAGCAUAAUUUCAUCAUUGCAAUCAUCACUAUCUAAUGUUGAUGAGAUGAAAUUCCAAUUCAUGUUAGCACAAAUGUCCUUUUAAGAUUUUUUGUUUUUUUGUUUGUUUUUUUUUUUUGAAUGAUUUCAUAAAAUUUGGUUGUACCAUGUUACUAAGGGUUUUUUCUUUGACAUAAUUUUUGUUCAACAUUCACUCUAUGACUAUACACAAGUUACAUUGUUGGUGUUGAAAUCAAAUAUAUAUAUGCUUAAAGGUAAUAUUUUGUUAUGAAUUUUCUAUGCUUAAAAGUAAUCUUUUGUCAUUUUUUUUUGUAGCUUUUGAAGGAUAUAUUUUUACUAUGAUACUUUUUCAUGAGUCAAAAAAUAUUUUCCCAUGAUUUUUUUGGGGUUUAAAGGUAAUAUUUUGUCAGAAAAUUUUAUGAUAGGUAAAAAUAAUCUUUUUUUUCAUGUUUUUUGUGCUUAAAAGUUAAUAUUGUGUUAUAAAAAUUUUUAUGCACGCCUAAAAAUAAUCUUUUACUAUGAAUUUUUUUUUAUACCUAAAGAUAAUAUUUUGUUAUGAAAUUUUUUCAUGUUUAAUAAUAAUCUUUUGUCAUAAGGGUUAAUUAUAUUUACCUCAGAGAGAUAAGUGAAAAUAACAAAUAAGAAUGCUGAGAAAGGUAUUUGAUGAAAUUUUAAAAUAAUGGUGACUCAAUGUAUUUAAUAUAAACUUAAGAGAGGUGAAUGAAAUUUAUCCUUUGUUAUAAAUGGUUUUUUAAGAUUGGAAGUGAUAUUGUGGCUUAACAUUGGUUUUUCUAGUAAAUUAAAACAAUUAGUCACCAACUCAUGCCAAGGAAGCUCCCACAAAAAUUGUUUUGCACUAAAAAUUAUUUUAUAGUGAACUAUUAUUUUUUAGUCAUCACUUCACUUACUUUGGGGCGAAUCUCAUAUUUGUUGAAGUUUAUGAAUCCAAAACUUUCUAUUUGUUUAUUUUCAAAUUUAUAUAACAAACUUAGAUAAUGAAAAUAGCAUAACAAAUGGAGGACAUGCAUGUGUUUUCACUAAAAAAAAAGGGUUUUCUACAAAAGUACAUCAUUUUUUUUAAAUAUUUAUUAAAAUACUAUUGUACCAAACUAUUUCUAAAACUAUGACAAUUUACCCUAAGUGAGAUUCCACGUAGACUUCAUUUGUUGAAAAGACAAGUUCAAUAUAAAAUAAGAACUCGUUUUUUCAAAAAAUGAGUUUAGUGUAAAAUUUAGAACUCGUUAGUUGAAAAGAUGAGUUUAAUGUUAAAUGAGAACUCAUUUUUUCAACAAACAAGUUCAAUGUAAAAUUCAGAACUCGUCUAUUGAACAGAUGACUUUAGUGAAAAAUUCAGAACUCGUCCAUCGAAAAACAAGUUCAAUGUAAAUAUUGUUAAGUGAGUUUGUUUAUUUGUUUCCGAAUCUUAGUUGAAGUCCAAUUCAAAUUGAGUUUGAAUUAAAAAUACUUAUUAAUUAUAAUUCAAUCCAAUUAUUAAAAUUGAUUCAUCCAAACCCGUUUAACAACAAAAGCGUAUGGAUUGAAAUGAAAUGUAAAAGAUAAGUAAACAUGAGCUCUAAUAAAACAAGAUCAAUUUAGUAUUGGAUUUGAACUAUCCUAUGCCAAAGGAAUGCUUAUGGUUAUAGUAAAAUAUAAUUUUUCACUUUAAUUGGUUCUUUUGACUUAUGGGUUAAAAGGACUUGGAUUGAAAUGAAACAAAAAGAAGAGGAAUGAAUGUGUUCCAAAAUUAUCAUAAUGGGUUUCAACUCAAAUAAAUCAAAUUUAAAUAAAAUUGUAGGUAGGUUGUUUGAAGAUUGUUCAUGAUCUUAAUCUAGAUAGGCCGACACUAGGCUUUUUACACGGAUAUUAAUAAAAAAGAAGGAUUAACCUCACAAUUUCAAAAUAUAACCCGGACUCAAAGUGAGUAAGAACAUGUUUUUGCUACUCUUGAUCUUGGGGCUUUAUACAGUGCAAUAGAUAAAAAAUGAAAAAAAUUCAAGAUUUUGAAUUGCAUUACAGGCAAAGACAUUUCAAAUUUUCAACACUUUCUACAUCUUAAAAGCAUUGCAUCACAGAUUUGACAUUUUCUUCAACAUUAAUAAAACAGUCUAAAAUCAGAUUUUGUUGCAUAACUUAUUUAAGUGAACAGUAAAAGACAACAUGCAUAAACUACUAAUCACACAAAAGGAAACACAUCCAUUAUAGGGUCAGCCUUAUAUUUUCCACAAAACCAUGUAUAAUAAAAGAAACUACGUAUAUAGCAAGAAACAUCGUAAAGGAAUGGAGUCCUAGAAUAUGCUCAUGUUGUCAUCUAUUAGAUUAGCUGAAACCACAUUGUUGAUCACCUAUUUACAGUAUUUAAAUAAAACCAUUCUUUCAUAGCAUAUACAAAAAUUAUACAUAAUAGACACUUAAAUAGAAAAGUUAAGCAUUAAAGAAUCCAUAUUCCUGGCUAUGAAACCCCAUGGUUGAUCACCAAUUUACAUUAUUUGAAUAAAACCAUUCUUUCAUACCAUAUACAUAGAUAUCAUUUUCUUGAACAAAAAUUAUACAUAAUAAACACUUAAACAUAAAAGUUAAGCAUUAAAGAAUCCAUAUUCCUAGCUAGCUUCCAUAACUUUUUGAAUUGUUUCAACUUGAUCAGAGAUCUCUAUUUUCCUAAGAUCAAUGACAACAAUAUUUCUUUGCAAAAAGGAACAAUGAGCUUCCCAAGUCUUUGCCCUAGUGGAAAAAUAGAAUUUUUAGGCAAGGAUUAAGCAUUAUCAACUAAAUUUAUAUAGAUUAGUUUGAAAAAUAGUUUAUUAUUAUCAACUAACCACAAGUUCCAUAAUUUUUGUAACACUUAAAGAAAAAUAAUGAAUAUUCAUUUUCACAACUUUAUGCUUCACUAUUUUUUUUUUUUUUUGAUACUAAAGAGAAAAAUGAAAUUAUAUUCCCUUUCCAAACCUUCUAUACUCAAGCUAGAUAUUAAUAGAAGAAAAAUAAAGUAUAUAUUCCCUUUCAAAACCUUUAACUUAUACUAAGUCCUUCAACUAAAUGUUAUCAUAAAAAACAACCAAGGAAUUUGAGUUUGUGUGUUAACUAACAUUGGGAAUCAUUCAUGACCUGGAAAUGCUAGAAAUGAAAAAAUAUUUAGAAUAAUAGACAAAGUUAAGGACUAAGAUGCAACUUCAAAGAAUUGGGCACAAAAUGUGUUUGAGUCAUCUACAUACAUUUUUCUAACCCAAUCAUAAUAUUUCCACUAGAGAAUGUAACUAGCAAACAUAAGUUCUAUUAUUUAAAAUCCUUGUAACUAUCCCCAUUCUAAUCGGAGCUUCGUUUCCAAAAAAUGGGUUAUGGCUUAGUGGUCGAAUUUCAAUUAAGGGGUCAUUACUAUGUUGACAUGUUCUCAUUCCUAAUGAUGUUCAUAUUUUGUAUAAGGAUAAGCAGAUGUGGGCUUUGGACCACAAAAAGCUUCAGAGAAUGGUAGCCUUUCUACAUUGUAGUUGUAGUGUUUUGGCAGUUUUGAGGUCCACUUAAAUUUUCUAUGCCUUUCUACUUAGGUAGAAAAUAACAAUGCCCUGCACAAUAGUUCCAAUUGCCCAAGAAUAAAAACAAGUGUCAUGCCUUUACAUUAAGCAAACCAUAUCACAUUAUGUUGCUUGAGUACUUUACUACUCAUUGUUCCAUUCAAUUGCUUGACUCAAUAAAGCUUUGUACCAACUACUUGAAAUAUAACAAUUUAUCUAGGCAUAAAAUAAAACUAUACCACAAUGGCUAAUCCAUGAUGUUACUUGACCAACAUUAGAGAUGGGAGUACUCACAAAUUGGAAAGGCUAAGUUACAAAGUAAAUAAGAAGAAAGAAACUCACAACAUAACCAUGCUUUUAAAUGUCAUAGUUCCAGCAAGAUUGCUAGCAACAAGUAAUCCAAUGAAAACAAAAAACACAACCUGUUCAAAUUUGAUUGAGCUUAGAAUUCUAACACAAUGUCAAUAUCAAUUAUCAGAAGAUGGGAUUUAGAACCAUCUUAGAACAAUGUUGAUAGAACACAACACAAGAAUUCUAUGUUGGCUACAACAUGAUUUAAUCUCAAUUAGAAUUUGCACAUAUGAAGAUGAAUGAGAUUAAUUUUCAUGUGUAAAGUUUUUGUAGUCUCAUUGGUUCAAGUAAAUUCUUUAUAUUUAGUAUCUAUAAACUGGUAUUAGUCAAUUCCAAGCCCCUUAUUUCACCAUGUAGGUUAAUGAAACGUAAGGGAAAAAGAAUAAAAUACCUAAGAACUUGAAAAUAUAGUCUUCAAUGAGAUAUAAUCACCAAAGCAGGAACUGAACUGUUAUACCAGUAGUUAUAGAAUUUGACACUCCACCAAAUAGUCUCCACAAAGGGAUGCCCAUGCUAUUAGCAACUACAUCAAAGUCAAUAUACUAAAAACAUUAGAAUUUUAUUGAUAAAAGGAUAUGAAGAUGCCCUAAUAAGAAAAAUCAAUAUACUAAACAAGAAAUAAAUACAUAAGUUAUAUCAACUUCCAUGUUUGUGCUUAUAUUUCUUUGUUACUACUAAGGAGAAUGAUAUAUUUAUUGAAUAUAUAGCUGUAAACGCAAAACAAACAAAUAUUUAUUUCUACGAACCAAAAAUGUUCUUCAACAACAAUAAUGAGUAGGAUUUUAGAGGCAAAUAAAUAAAAACAGGGAUAUUAAAAUAAAAAAAGCCAUGAAAGAUAUACUCAUAGCAAGUAUAAACUGUUGUCUAACCCAAAAAAACAGUAGCAAAACCAAACUUUUAAUUUUUGUUAUUACCUUCUCAAGUAUAAAAAACACCAAGGUAGUAGGUCUCUAAUAUCCUAGAGCUUUGUAACACAAAACUAUCUAACAAGUUUUAGUAAUUGUUGAAAACUCAAUUUGCAACAAAAAUAGCAAUUGUCAGAGUUAUUUUUAAUUUGUUCUCUUCUUAAUGCAUUCCUUGUAAUAAUUAAUUUCUUCUUUCCUUUUAUCAAAAAUAUAUUACAGAGAAAGCAUAAGAAAUGUAUUUUAGUAGACCCAAGGAGAAUUCCAUUUCAAAUGACACAAGCAUAACCUCAAACAUGAAAUGUAUCUUAACAUAUCAUAGACCAUAAGAAGCCUUAAAUAAGCUCUAACUACUACUAUCAACAGGAACAUAAAACAAACAUUUCCAACAAAGCAUUACAUAAAACACUUACCAUAUGGAAAAGGAGUGUGUUAACCAUUGGAAGCAAAUGAUGUUUCCUCAGGGCGAGUACUCUUUAGUCGACAAUUGGAAGAGAUGUAAUAAGCCUCAUAUGAUCCCCUGUAAAGGCAAUGACAUUAACAACUACCAUCUCAAUACAUAAAUAGAUUAUGAAAAUACCAUCAAUUAACCAAAGAAAUAGUCCACUUAUUGUCGAUAGUUAAAUAAAAGAGAACUUGACAAAACCUUGAGCUAUCCAAAAGAAAAAGGUUAGCAUAGGAUUAUUAUAUAACUACACCUAACAAUAUCUUCUAUGCACCAUAUUGUAAUUAUAAUACAAUCAUCAAUUAGAGGGAUCAAGUGCCACAUGGAGGGGUUGUCCUCUUACGUCUUAUAUGUCUUUGGUAAGUCACAAUAGAAGUAUGGACAUCAGAGAUAAUGUGGACAUUAAGUGGAACAUUAGAAGUGGCUUAAACUUCAGAAGCAACCAGAACCUUAGAAACAACCAACACAUUAUAAGAAAUCGGAACAUCUGAAGCAACCAAAACACUAGAAGCAAUUGGAACAUCAGAAGUGACAUCUAUACCAUUUACAUUAUCUAUAGGGUUUGUUAUGACAUCAUCAAGAGGAAAAUCAAUAACAUGAGAGGAACUAAUCCAUCAUGUUGUAUAUGUGUACUCCCUUGUCCUUGACAUCGUACUCGACCUUGGCCUUUAUGAGGUACUACUGGAGCUAGAAUAGAUGAGGAUGAUAUCAUGAAUGAUGUCGAUUGUUGAUGAUAUGAUGUUGGGGGUGCUAUAAGGUUGAAUAAGUGUCUGCCAUGAUGUGGAUGGUCAAUCAUCUAUAGGAAUCUGCUCUUGGAUAAUAGGUGUUACAUCAGUCUAAGAGUAUUGAUGUUGCUUCAUAACAUGUCCUCUACACCUCUCUCUUCCAUUCUCUCCUACCUCGUCAUGAAAAUAAAAGUGAGACUGUGUGAUAGGAUGACUAAUAUGUAAUCGACUUAUCUUAUCAAUUUCUUGCAAGGUCUUACAAGACAAUGAAUUUAUAUCUUUCUUUAUUGUUGGUGGAGUAUUUGGCCUUGACAACUCAUUCCUACAUGUCCAAAGUAGAAUAUGUUAGUUAUAAUGGAAGGGAAACCAAUAGAGAAUGAAUGAAAAUGUAAUAUUCUUGAAAUUACCAUAAGCCCAUGGAAAGAUCCCUACUUAAUGAUAAAUCGAUGUGUGAUCGAAUGAUACCACUGCAUAUAAGGGUCAUAAUAUGAAAUAUCUCCAAAUACCAACUCAGUACUAACUACAUGAUCACGACGAUGACUUUAUCUUUCUAUAUACUCUUGAUUCUCAACCCUCUAAUAAAGAUCAUGUCAACCUCAUAAGUCACUGCUAUGUAGUUUAUUGCUAGUAUCACAUGACUUUGGUAUAUGUUGACUCAUACCAAAUUGGCGUAGAACCCAGUUUGGCUUAUGCUAAUCAAUAAUAUGGAAAAAAAAAAAAAGUGGUGACACAAUAUGCGAAAUGUCAUCACCAACAAUAUAGUAGUUUAGCAAUGUAGAUAUGAUAUCAGACGUGUAAGACUGCCAUAUAAUGUGACUUAGCCUCUGUAUAUGAAAGGUAAAUCUAUAUUGGCGAAUGACAUACAUGGAUACCUCUAUGAUAGAGAAAACAUCUUUCCACCUAAGACAAAGUAAUAACAUGUUAGUUGAGAUCAAAUAUAACUAAAGUUAUUUAUGAAUUUUUUACAAGAAAAUAUCAACUUUUGUAUAUACCAUGUACCCGAUAGAGAUGGUGGGAAUGGAAGGCCAUCAUCACCAAUGAUAUCAUUUGGAAAUACCUCAAAUCUCAGAGGGACAAUACAUGGAAAUCUCUCUCAUGCCCAUAGUUCUAAUAAUAUAAGUGGGUUAACUAUAUCGCGUGCCUAAACAUGGGAUGCUCAACACAUCUUCCUAUAGAGCUAAGAUAAGUAAGCAUUACCCUAACAAUACCUACUAACAACCUUAAAAUCUUAUAAAAAUUGAAAAAACAUGAGAUGCACAAAGCAACUAGACUUGUUUGCAAAUAAACAUAUUCUAAUAAGCUGCAAGAUAUAUGCUUUGGCAUAACAUUGAAUAGCAACAUCAUUAGCAUUAAGGGGUAGAGUGGGAAAUUUCAUUGAUAACCAUGUCAUAUUAAGUCAUGAUCCAUCCAAGUCAUCCUUCUUAGGCAUGUGUCCUAACAAAGACUCAAAUAUCUUAAGCCAUUGUUGUGACAUCAAAGCAGUAAGAUGAAGUCCAUCAACUGGUAGUCUAAGUAUAAUGGUGACAUCUUAUAGAGUAAUCAUCAUCUCCCUAUGUGGCAUGUGGAAUGUAUGCAUCUCAAGGCUCCAUCUCCCAACCAAGGCAAUGACUAAGUGUCAGUCUAAUGUAACAAACCCAAGUCAUGCUAUGCCAUAGAAUCCCCCUUACUGCAAAUAUGGAAUAAUCCUUCAAUCUAGUGACAUUGUACGAUGAAACAUGGCCUUAAGUCGUCUACAAUGAAGAAUUUGUGUCCUAGAUACCUCUAUAUCCCAUAAAAUAUGAGAUUAAUGUACAUGUUGUGAAGACAACACUAAUGAAUCAUAAGAUUAGGGAUCCAUGAGACCUAUAAAACAAGGUUUCUUAUUGUAUAUUUUUCAAUAUUUUAAAAGUUCAUACAUCCUUAAGAGUUUACAUUGGUAAGAGUUCAUACAUUACCAAAAAUUCAUACAUCACCACAGUUCAUACAUCGAUUAAAGUAAUAUAUCAUGAAAAGUUCAUACAUCAUUAAAAGUUACAUUGGUAAGAGUUCAUGCAUUACCAAAAGUUCAUGCAUCAUCAAAAGUUCAUAUAUCACCAAAGUUCAUACAUCGUUACAUAUUUCAAAAUUCAUUCAGAAGGGAUGUUAAAGGAUUGUCUUUGAUAUUUGCUAGGACUGUUGCAUUGAUUAUGACUCUCUUACUUGUAUGCUCCACACCUAACCUUUACACUAGGUUCUCUCCAAUUCAUCCCAUUUCGUAUGUGUGAUGAUCUAAGUCGAUCUUAUUCUCGUAACAUUGUUGGAUCGAGAUGCAAAAUUAGGAAAUUUGGUUGAGGCCAAUAGUCUUCAUGUAGUAUUGGACUAAAUUCUAGGGCAUAACAAGCUACAUAUUUUUCCAUUCUCUAAUAGGAAUCUAUGAAUUUCCAAUUGUCUAACCUUGCAUAAGCACAAACAGCUAGGCCAUAGGAACAAGGCAACCCAAAUGAUUGCCAUUUGUUACAAGUACAAUCACUUUCCUUAAUUUUCACAAUUUGCUUAUUGUUGCCCUUAUCCAUACAAAACCCAUGAACAACAGUGGUUAUCUCAAAGACCUCAUUCGUUCGAUGAAAUAUUGUAACACUAUGUCCACUUGCCUAAGCCUUCCAAUUGCUAAUCUUAUUCUUGGCAUAAGAAAUGUAAAGUUCACAUUUUUUGAUUUUGGUUGUGUUUCUACUCUACGCCUUUCAAAGUAGGCAACACACUUAUAAAGUGAAUUGCACUAGUGCAAUGAUAGGCAAUAUAUGGGCUCCCUUAAACACCCCAUUAAUACUCUCUACAAUAUUUGUUGUCAUACAUCCAUACCGAAACCCCUUAUCAUAUGCUUGUGUCCAUUUCUCUUUCUCUACUUUUUCAAAGAAAUGAACACACUUCUCAUUCAACUUUUGUAGUUUCUCCAUGCACAGUUGAAACUUGCGAGGUUGAUGUUGAGAUUCAACCUUGUACACUAAGUCUUUCAAGACUUUGUUUUAUACUUCUUAUUGAAAUUUCUUGCCACAUGUCUUAGACAAUAUCUAUGAUGAGCAUAGGGUGGAGUCCAUCCAACUUUGAAAUUUUGUAAUUGAAGUUACAAUCAAUAGCUUGCCUGUAUACUUUCCAUAUAGGAAAGUACCAUCAAUUUGGCCUAUAAUGCUUGAAUUCUUCUAUAGUAGCUCCAAAUGCCCAAAACAUUCUUUUAAAUCUUACAUUGUCAUUAAAGUUUCCUAAGGGAGUUGUUUUCUAAACAAAUUUUGUACCAAGAUUAGUUGCUUGAAGAACAUUCAUCCACUUGGGUAGAAAAUAGUAAAAUGCAUCCUAAUCACUAAACACUGCCAUAAUUACUUUUCUCUUUGCUUCCUAACUAUUCUAUUAUGAACUUCAUGGCCAUAUUUAUCUUUCAUUAUCUGAUGCAAUGUUGGUGCUGACAUAGAUAGAUCAUUUCUUACUAUAUUUUGUAUCUUCCUAACAAUCAAGGUGGACCCCAAUUGAGAGUGGUCUUGUGAGAGUUUAAGAUAUACACAAGUGUGAGAACUUAUGUAUUAUGUUAUCUCAAACAAGUUGUGAGUUUUACAUCAACAAGCAUGAAGUCUCCACUUAUAACCUUCAUCCCACCUCUUGCAUCUUAUUGACCAUAAAUGAGGUUCUAAUUCAACUACAACAAAAUCAUGAUUAUUGUAUAUGCAAUAUCUUUUAACAACAUACUGUAAGUCUUUCUUAUUCUCAAACUGUAUGCCCUUGUACAAUACAUCAUGGUCAUUCCAUAUUCCAUUACGUGGCCCUAAGUUCUCCUUAUCACAUCCCAAUUCAACUCACUUAACAUCGGGGAAGGGAUGACAUAUUCAUGAUAAAGGUGUGUAGACUCAUUUCCCAAAUGCUCCAGUCUAUCAACAUCAUUAUCUUCAAAUCAUGGUUUUCAGGGGCCUCAUAAACAUAUCCUUCACUCAUGACCAUGUCAUGCACCGCAUUGGAAUCUAUAUUCAUUACAGGCUUAUCAUAAUCUUCACUUAUUUCAAGUGUAUCAUCAAGAUCCACCAUUUUUUGAGACGGGAUAAGCGGUACAUCAAUUGACAAUUCAAUGGUGCAGUCAACAUUCUCUAUCUCCACUUAUAGGAACUCUGCAUUUAUGAGUAGUGUUACAAAGUUGAAAUUACCAUCUACAAGAUUAAUUGCAUAACGAUAAACCAACUUCAACUUUACUUGAGAUGAGCCUUUGCACAAUGCUUGACUUAAACAUGCAACUAAGUCAUUGAAUGUUGUGUUGCUUCUAACUAACACAACCUUUGAUGGAGAAGAAUUGAAGCAAAUCUCAUUAGGUGCAUUGAUCAUAUUACCAUUAAUGUAACAUAACACUAUAAUUGAACUUUCCCCCAUUGUUGAUCCUAAAGUUUAGAAAAAAUACAAGACUUUAGUAACCUUAAAUGAAUAAAGGGAAAUUCUAAAUAUGACAAAAGAGAAUAAUUCUAGCCCUUCUACACAUACUUGUUGAACUUAAAAAAACAUCUUCUCAAGUACUCUACAUUGCACCAACAAAUUACAAACACACAUAUGGUUUUCAGAAAAAAAAAAGGAUUUUUGGAAAAGGGGAAUGGGAUUUUUAGAAUUUGAUGGUGCUUUAUGUGGUGUCCAAGUGGCACCUAUGUGGCAAAAUCUAAGAUAUUUUUAUCAAUAUUUUUUUAAGUGCAUUUGUAAAAAAACUGUUUUUUUCUUAAAAUAUUAUAUUUUUAUCAAAAAUCCCUAAAAGAGGUAGGACCCGAACUUCUUGGCAUGAAGAUGGAUCAUCUGUCUUCAAGACUAACAAAUCAAAUAUUAAUUGAAGGACCUGAUUUUAAUUUAUUAAGUUACCAAUCUAAUUUUAAAUUUAAUUAUAUAAAUUUGGAAGGGGAAAAUUGUGUUUUGGACCCAACUAGGCCCAAAAAUUAAGAUUUGGCCCAUAAAAGUUACAUAAUUGAGGGAAAGGAUAUAAAAUAUGAAGAGACCAAUAUAUCCUUCAAAACUAUUUUGAGUAUUUUCUACCAUAAUGUUUGACAAACUUUUUUAGCUUAAUUUUUUUUAAAUAAUUAUUCUAAAAAUUUAUUAUUUUUAGAAAACUAAUUUUAAAAAAUAUAUAUUCUAAAAAUAUAUCAUUUAAAAAAAAUAAAUUUGACAUAUUUUUAGUUAUUUUUUAUAUACACAAUUUUAAAAAUAUAUAUUUUCCAAGAUGUUUUAUUUUUAAAUAAUAAUAAUAAUAAUAAUAAUAAUAAUAAUUUAUUUUUAUUUUUUUGGAAAAUGGUGUAUUUUUUUUUCAAAUAACUAAAUUAAAUUAAAUUUUAUUGAGAUUUACAAAAAGAAUAAAAUUUAAAUUAAUGUUUUUCUACUUUUUUUUUUUUCAUAGUCAAUAAAGAUCAUUUUUUGAAAGAUAAAAAGUUCAUAUCCUUCUCAAUUUUCACACUUCCUUUAGGUAUUAAGCUUAAAUGGUGAAUUUAUAUGGAUCAAAACUUAAUUUUUAGGUCCACUUAAAUCCAAAACACAAUUGUCCCUUUUAUCUAAUACCUCUUUGACAGAUGAGAGAGUUCAGAGACGUAAAACAGAAACACACCAUUGAAAUCAAGUGCAGUCCUGGCGACGUACUGCUUAUCAAAUAAUAGGGAACACACCAGUUCAACCGGGCCACGGUUCUCCAUUUGUAAGAUCCUAGAAAUGACCAAUACGACUUUUUCUAGCCGCAAAUUGAUUACCAAUUGGAAUUGAACACUAUCAAAUUAUGCACCACCUCAUAAUUUGGACUUUAAGCGAUGUCCAUUUUUAUAUUUUUUUUAGUUCACAUCAGAGAUGAGUGGGUGAAUGGGUAGAUACUUUACUCUGAAGGAGUCUCUUUGAUACCAGUCAUUGAUGAUAAUACUUUUGAGCGACUUUGUUUUACAUCUUUCGACUUUUGGUAAAAGGUUUUGCACAAGCUGAUCAACUUUAGUGGGAUUUGCCACGUGUGGACAUGGAUACGUGUUUCGGUAGCUUCCUGCUGCAUAUAAACCAAGGAAGAUCCCAGAACUUGCGAUAGAACGCACGCAUUUAGAUACACACAAAAAGAAAAUGGGAAGCUUUCUAGAUCUUCUGUACAAGGAAAACGCGUCGUUCUUUCUGCUAUUUCUCCCCUUUUUCGUCUUCAUAUACUUCCUCAUCAAAUGGCUCUAUCCUACUACUCCUGCAGUCACCACAAAGAGGCUACCUCCUUCCCCACCAAAGCUCCCAAUCAUUGGAAACCUCCACCAACUAGGCUUGCUCCCUCACCGCUCCCUCUGGGCCUUGGCUCAGCGCCAUGGCCCCAUUAUGCUGCUCCAUUUUGGCAAAGUUCCAGUGGUCAUCGUCUCAGCUGCAGACGCUGCAAGAGAGAUCAUGAAGACCAAUGAUGUCAUCUUUUUAAACAGACCUAAAUCGAGCAUCUUUGCGAAACUUCUCUAUGAUUACAAGGACGUUUCCAUGGCCCCCUAUGGAGAGUACUGGAGACAGAUGAGGAGUAUCUGUGUACUCCACCUUCUCAGCAACAGAAGGGUUCAGUCCUUCCGAGGAGUCCGCGAAGAAGAGACAGCCCUUCUGAUGGAGAAGAUCUCUUCCUCUUCUUCCUCCUCCACCCCAAUUGAUUUGAGCAAAAUGUUUCUGUCCCUAACAAAUGAUCUCAUAUGCAGAGUUGCCCUAGGAAGAAAAUACAGCGGAGAUGAAACUGGAAGAAAAUAUAGAGAACUGCUGAAGGAGUUUGUGGGGUUGCUGGGUGGCUUCGAUGUUGCCGACUACAUUCCAUGGCUGUCAUGGGUGAACUUCAUCAAUGGUUUGGAUGCAAAAGUGGAGAAAGUUGCUAAAGAGUUCGAUAGAUUUCUUGAUGAAGUGGUGAAAGAGCACGUGGAGAGAAGGAAAAGAGGUGUAGAUGAGGAAGUGAAGGAUUUUGUGGACGUUUUGCUUGGCAUUCAGGAGGAUAAUGUCACAGGCGUUGCCAUAACUGGAGUUUGCAUCAAAGCUCUUACUCUGGUAAGGAUGAUUAAUUAACCAUCAUGGACGAGCAAAGUUUGUUUGGCAAUCAAGAAAAAAAAAAAAAAAAAAAUCUUUCUGUCUUUCAUUAUAUAAAAAGGAGCAUCAUGAAUUUAACAUUAUAACUGGUAUUGUUGGACUUUGUGGAGUUGCUUUUUAUUAUUAUUAUUAUUUGUGUAUAUGUAUUGGUAUUUAUAAGAAUUUCCUAUUUUUCUUCGGUUGCAAGAAGAUUCAUCUACUUAAUUAUGCUAACAACCAUUUGCCAAGAUGAUAUAUCAUUAUAAUAGUACAGUGUGAUUUAUACAAAUUUAAGAUCAAUAAUAAUUUUUCCCAAAUUAUCAAAUUAACUUGAUAUUCAUUGUUCACCCAUUUCAGAAUUCGAAAUACCUGUCAAAAAGCUGCUACUUAAUGCAUUCUCCCUUCUUGUAGGACAUGUUUGCUGCUGGAAGUGACACUACAUACACAGUCUUGGAGUGGGCAAUGACAGAGCUCUUGAGGCACCCACAAGUCAUGAGGCAACUUCAGAAUGAGGUCAGAGGAAUUGCUCAAGGCAAACUCCUCAUAACUGAGGAUGACUUAGACAAAAUGCAAUAUUUGAAGGCAGUGAUCAAAGAGACUCUCAGACUACACCCUCCAGUCCCACUACUACUUCCCAGAGAAUCCACCCGGGGCGCCAAAAUAAUGGGCUACGACAUUGAAGUAGGGACACAAGUCAUUACCAAUGCAUGGGCAAUUGGGAGAGACCCACUGUUAUGGGAUGAGGCUGAGGAGUUUCGGCCAGAAAGGUUCUUGAAUUCUUCUAUAGAUUUCACAGGGAAAGACUUUGAGUUGAUCCCAUUUGGAGCUGGCCGGAGAGGUUGCCCGGGAACUCUGUUCGCGGCAAUGGCA
rnacentral:lncRNA from 1 species